GCUGAUGAAGAAGGCUAUGCUGGAAUACGCCUUACCGCAAGGGGCCCCGUCACUACUUGUGCGUAUGGCGUGGAAACGGACGGUCGCACACAUUUAAGCACAGAUGGGUGGAAGAGCUUCCUCGUUGACAAGAAUCUUCAUGUUGGACAGGCCAUCCUUAUUACUAUCAGGAAGACCAACCGUUAAGGCUUGAAGAUGAUGAUCGUCAUCGAUAUCAUCUAAACAAUAUAUGCGUGUGGCUGCUGAUGAUCGUCAUGUUUGAUUGCUACCUAUUUUGGCUUCGUGAAACUAUUUGGAUGUGAUCAAACUAUGUUAUGUUUAUGUCUAUGAAAUUGUGAUCAAACUAUGUUAUGUUUAUGUCUAUGAAAUUAUGAUCAAACUAUGUUAUUUGGUACUUGUUUCUUAAUCUGUAAUGGCAAAACUAAUUAUGCUUAUGUCUAUGAAAUUGUGCCUAUUGGUUCUUAUGUUCAGGGCCCUUGCAUAUUUCUAUGAAAUUGUGAUCACAUUAUUUGGAUGUGAUCAAACUUCUUAUGUCUACAAAAUUUUACACGAAACACAGGACCCUACCGCCAGGAUCCCUAGCGGUAGGGUCAGACAGCCUACCGCCGUGAGCCCUGGCGGUAGGGUGAACCUACCGCCAGGACGCUUGCAUAUCUCGUUACAGAAGGCAUGCACGGCAAAACCCUGCCACACCUUACCGCCAGAGCCCCUGGCGGUAGGGUUAGACAGCUUACCGCCUGGUUGUCUGGCGGUAAGGUACUUAUCCACGUCAGCGCGCGGUGACGGCCCCCGUCUCCCUCCGUCACACCCUACCGCCAGGGUAUCUGGCGGUAGCCUAUCUAACCCUACCGCCAGGGGCUCUGGCGGUAGCAAAAGGGUCAAAUCCCGAUUUUUUUUGAACGGGGUCAGAUCUUGAUUUUGUUUGCAAAAAGGGUCAAAACACGAAAUUCAGCCUUUGGAUGUUGCCCUCGUUUUCUCCAGUUGCCAAUUGGGCGAGGCUGCUGUGAGUGAGCGCGCAGAUAACACCUCCCCCAUUCUUGAAACCACUUCCCCUCUCUCUCUCUCUCUCUCUCUCUCUCUCAUUUCCUCUCCUCUCCUCCAGUCCCAUGCCCCUCCCCUGCUUCUCCGCCGCCGCCACCGCCACCACGGAUGAGAUGGGCGCUGGUGGGCAGGCUGCGAAGUCGCGGUGGGCGGCGCGGCCACCGUGGCCGUCGGGCUGCGGCGGCCAGCAGAGGACCGCCGCCGGCUGGAGCUCCUUCCUCCUCCACCGCGAAGCAACCUCUUUCCCCCACGAAGGAACGCCGCCGCGUCCGACCUUAACCGCCGACCGAAACACUAGCGAGCCCCACCCAUGGCGCCCUACCCUAGGUCAGAUCCCUCCUGCCCUUCCUCUUGGUUUCUUCCUUCUUCCUGUGAUGCGUGAGUGAGUGAUGUGCAGGCAGCUUCUUUCUCUGCUUUUCUGCUCUCACCCUGUCUCUCUCUUCACUUCUCUGUAGGUGGGUGGUACAGCGGCCAGAGAAGAGCAGAGGAGAGGAGGUGGAGCAGCCAGCGCCUGGACGUGAGGUGAGCUUCCCAUCGACACCUGCAGUUUUGGACGUUUUUCUUCAGUUUUGGUUCAACACGUUUGUGUGUGUGUGUGUGACCUUUUGGUUCAGUUUUUUGGAUGACCGAAACUGAACCAAAUUGCGUGUGCAUGCAUCCAUUGUAUGCAUGUAUCUACGCAUCACAUUUUUCUAACUGGACUGCACCACACUCGUGUAUUGCCAUGAAAAUAAAAUGUUGUGGUCUUGUUUCAUUUCUUAGCUGCUCAAGUGUAACAAUCGACACACUGUCUUUCAAUCUACCAACCAAGAGAUAUUGCUACCUAUCUAUUUGCCACUUGCUUGCAUUCAGAAAUUAUGUUGAUUUCCUCUGCUGCAAAAAAGUCCAUCUUGUGUUAUUACGCUUGAUUUCUUCAUUCAGAGAAAGAACAUUGAGGUGUGGAAAGGUCUAUUCCCAAAUUUGUGUACCAGAGCACAUUCUAAUUAAGACCUUCUUAUGUGGGUGCAAACAUACUGCAAGAACUACCCGUCGUGCGCCAAAUACACAAUGCCGAAGGUAUCGCUGGGAUGAGAGCUGCUUGCAAACUUGCUUCCCGUGUACUGAACUUUGCAGGAACAUUUUUUUUUCGAGAAAACGCAAAGAGCUUUGCGUUUCAUUGCAUUGAAGAGAAGGGAUUUUACAAUCCUCCUAGGAGGCUGGGGCUACAAAAGACUGUGUACUCGGUUAGUGGACAUCCCAGGACGUGGGCAGGACUACCCUGAGCCCCUUUGCCCCAGCUUGUGCCCAACAUUUGGCUUCCGUUUUAAUCCUAUCCACUAAUGCUUCUAUCGAUGUCCGUGUGUUUUCGAAAACACAUUCAUUGCGCUGCUUCCAGAUCAUCCAAGGGACAAGCAUGGCGAUGGAUUGCAAGCCUUUGCGCAGCGCGUGCGGUGUCCUCUCUUCGUUCGCUGCCACCAGUCUGUGAGUGAGGGGUCGUUGUGUGGUGGCUGUGCUGGAAUGCGACUUUGCAGGAACAUUGGUUAAGGUAUAUUCCUUUUUUCAUAGAUAACUAGAAUCAUUUUAUACCUAAAUCAUCUGAAGAGUCUGCAUUGUACACUUAAUAACAAUAAUUAUUUCACUGUCAUUUCAGCCAUCAAUUACUACAAAUGAAAUCGACAGGGCAGUGCAUCAUAUGAUAGUUGAGGCGGGUGCUUAUCCUUCUCCACUUGGCUAUGGCGGAUUUCCUAAAAGUAAAUGAGUGUGCCUGCCACGGACUACCUGAUUCAACACAGCCGCAGGUUCUGUAGGAUGAAAUGUGCAUCUUCCUUUCUUUAUUUUUAUGUCAUGCCUAUGUACCGUGGGAUGAAAAAUGUUGUUUCUUCUGCAGAAUGGAGACAUCAUAAAUAUUGAUGUAAAUGUGUUCCUAAAUGUAAGUUCUCUCUCCUAAGAUUGUGCAUAUGCUUAGUUGGUAUGUUUGGCAUAGAGUCGGAUUUUGCUGACAAAUUGCUUGCAAGGCUGAUAGGUUUAUUGAUAUGCCUCAUAUGCAAGCUCCUAACCCAUUGUAGAAGUUGUCUGUUGUGGAGAUGACUGGGUUCCAUGGCUAACAUAACACAUUUUACCUGUUAUGUACUCCAUCUGGUUGGAUAGCAAAUUGCAUUUUAAUGUUGAUUCAAUGCUUAUCAUUAAGUAUUUCUUAUGGAGAAAGAAAGCAGAGUAUGCCAUUUCAGCGCACUACGAUCACACCUGUGUCUGGGAGGAAGUUCUUCAGAACAAGUGCUUAAACAAGUACAAUCACACUGCUAUCGACGGGCAAUUUUACUUUUAUCAGUCUGAGGGCCUGUGAAGUUUAAUGCCUCUGACCAAGAUCCUGUUCUACCGAGUUGUAAGUAGCAUUUACUCUGUCAGGACCCCGACUCGAUGUCACAUCGAUCUAGCUUGUAACACCUCAUAUCACUUUGCGGCCUCACGCACGGUAUCCCCACGGGUGUCGCCUUACCUUUUCCCGGGACCGUUUGCGCCUUUUGGUUCACGUAUAUGAUAGUGUCGCUAGCAUCCAUAUGAUAGGGAGCCCGGGCUGACAAGACUAGUUGUAAACCCAAAGUGGCACAGACUUACAGGGACAGGCAUCCAUGACCCAGCUUCGAACGUGUCGGUCAUCAGCAAGUGGGUCCGGGCUGUAGCACUAGGCUAGCAGGACUCCGGUAAACCGGGCUGUAGCGGGCUAACAGGACUCCGGUACUCAAUGCGUGACAUUUCCCCGAAGGGACAGACACAGGAACGAAGAAGGACACAUGCCGGCCAGCCUAAAUGUUCCAGAGCAGUAGCAAGCUACCAUGGCUCAGCGGUAACACUAGGAGACAUUUCCCGGUAAGAGAGGCUACUAAAGAUAAACAACUAGAUAGUCAGAUCCCACACAUACCAAGCAUUUCAAUAACAUACACACAGUAUGCUCGAUAUGUGCAAAUACAACAUGGCAUCACAACAUGACUCUACGACACAAGUACUUUAUUUAGGGCUCAGAGAGCCAUACAUAUCAUACACAUAGAUACGGGUCACACGACCCAGCAUUCAAGUCAUACAGUCAUACAAACCAGCAGCGGAAGUAGCUUGUCUGGGUACAGACAACUAGUAAAAUAAAAGAGGCUUGGAAAGCCUAGCUAUAUUACGUGGUCCUUCACAAGCUCAGGAUCACCACCUGGGCCUUAGCCUACUCAUUGAUGUCAACGUCUACGAAGAACCCAUCAGAAGGGGUUGCAGCGUCUUCUGUAAAAAAUGUAGAUUAUAGCAACAUGAGUACAAAGGUACUCAGCAAGACUUACAUCAGGUCCUACAUACAUGCACAUUAUCAAGAAGGGUUGGUGGGGUUCUUGCAGCAAGCCAGCUUUGACUCUUGGCUAGACUAUCCUACGAGACUCCAACUUGAAAUGGUUUUGCGUACACGAGUCCACUACUCACCACUUCAAUACACUACCGAGGAUCCACCUCCGUCUUCCUACGGAAGAGCCAUCCUCGGCACUCACACUUAUCUUGAGGCUUUUAGUAGUUUCCAUUUACUUGUCUAUGAACUGUAUAGGCAACCAAGUAGUCCUUUACCGCGGACGCGGCUAUUCGAAUAGAUCAUGAUAACCCUGCAGGGGUGUACUUCUUCAUACAUGUUUCCACCACUUAGCGUCUGCACACGACAUGUGCUCGGCAGACUUCAAGCGAAAGCCGACGUGGGUGUAGACCACGACCUACCUAAACACCUAAGUCUCUAGUCCAGGUUUAUCGCCUAUCCAGGUUCCAUCCGCAGGAAGUCCGGCCGAGGCUUCCCAUACGGCCCCGAACGAUGUGAACAGGGUUCCCGAGAUACCUAACGGGUAUUCGGUACACCCAGCCACGUACCUACCGCAUCACAGCCCACCCCUACGGUCAGCGCUGUCCACGGCCUCCAGUAGGCUACAAACACCAGAAACUACUUGCAACUCCUGGACAGAGAGCUAGGGUGAAUAAGAAGUCGAGCGGGGUCAUAUUUCAGGGCCCAAUGCAUGGUAGUAGCUGUAUCUUAAAUCACACAUACAGAUCUCAGUGCUUAGGGUCGGCUUCAAUGAAACAACCCACCAUGUACUCCUACAUGGCCUCUCAUCGAUACCUUUACCAAAUCGUGUUCACCACACCACUCUCAUUACCGACAUAAUCAUUUCACUCUAGCCCAUCACCCAGAUGAACCAGACCUGACACGACUCUAAGCAUAGCAGGCAUAGCAAGGUAGGAACAACACAUACAUAUGGCUCAAUCAACUCCUACACAUGCUAGUGGGUUUCAUCUAGUUACUGUGGCAAUGACAGGUCAUGCAGAGGAAAUGGGUUCAACUACCGUAGCACACAGCAGUUUGAAACGCGUUGUCUUAAUGCAGUAAAAGAGAGCAGGAGCGAGAAUAUGGGAUUGUAUCGAUAUGAUCAAAUGGUUGGUUGCUUGCCUGAUGGUUCGAUGCACUGAUACGGUUCUUCGUUAGGGUAAUCACGGUACUCCUCGGAGGCAGAUCCUGCCGCAAAGAACACCGAUACACAACCAUCACCAAACAAUGUGCAACAAUAUGAUGCAUGCAUGAAACAUGGCAAUAUGAGUGUGUUGGGCUAAUGCAACUAAGACCAGAAGGGUUUGAACCAAUUUGAAUCAAAGAUUCAAAUUUUCAAACUCAAACAUGGUUCUUUAAAGUGUUUUUCCUUGUUCUGCAUUAAACAUCAAGUUAACUUGUUUAGUCAUGCAUGAAAAUAGUACAGAUGGAUAGAUUGGAUUUUUUUGAUCAUUUUUCAUAUAUAAUUUGUCUGAUUUGGAGUUACAGAAUAAAAGUUAUGAAUUUUUGAAGUUUAAAUUAUAUUCUGGAAUUUUCUAUAUUAGAUUAAAUCCAGAAAAUCAAUUACUGCGUCAGCCUGACGUCAGUGUGACAUCAGCAGGUCAACGGGACACGUCCGUGUCAAACCUGACAGUGGGUCCCGCGUGUCAGUGUGAUUAGUUAAACUAAAAUUAAUUUAAACUAAUCCUAAUUAGUUAACAGGGCUGGGCCCCACCUGUCAUUGACUCAGGGGAGUCAACCAGGGCCCACCCGUGGUCAAACCCGGGUCGGCUGCACCGGCGUUUAGCCGUCGGCGAGCCCGACGCGGCGGCGGAAGUGGUUUUGGCCGUUUCGGCCACCAAAUGGGUCGCGGAGACCAUCGGAGUGGAGCUGAGGACGAGUCGCAGCUCUUGGUGGAGUCCGUUGGGGUCGGGGUGGCCGGAGUUGGCGCCGGCGACGACUUUGGCGGCCACCGGGGUUCGGCCGAAGUCGAACUUGACGCAAGAGGGGGUCGGUGAGGUGCGGGGAGUAGCUAGUUAGGUGCUACGUGACGCGGUGAGCAUGAUGGACACCGUGGAGUGGUCGGAGGGUGACCGGGAGCACGUCGGCGACGAGCUCCACGGUGGUGGGUGCGGUUGAGCUCCGGGAGGUCGCUACACGGCUCGGGAGCAAGAAAGGAAGGGAGGGGAAGAUGGCUAAGCUCACGGGGAGUUCGACGAAGCCCUUGGUGCGGCCGGGGACGGACCGGAGCGACGACAGCAUUGAAGGGGAUCUCCGGCGACGGCGGUUCGGUCGAGGUCGAUGCAGUGGGCUCGGGCCUUGCGAGCGCUCGGGGCUCGGCUUGCUCGAAGGAGAGGAGGGUAGCGGUGCUCCUGGACACAGCGGCACGGCGUGCGGUCGACGGAGGGCGUGGCUACGGCGAGGGGGUGGCGGCGAUGGCGUCGGCCAUGGCAGGGAACGCGAGAGAGAGGGGUUGGGGAAGAAUGGAGGUGUCCUGCGGGUUCACGACGUUGCGUGGAGCUCAUCCAUCCAGCCCCGAGGCGAGGAGGUGGAGCAGGGCGGCAGUCAGCUGCGUGGCGCGCGCUGCGGUCGCCGUCGGGCACCUGCCUGCCUGCCUGGCCGGCAAGCAGCUCGCUGGAGCGGCGCUGGGCUGAGCCGGCAGGUGGGCCGGGUGCUGGCGCCAGGUAAGUUUUUCUAUUUUUCUCUGUUUUCUGUUUUUUUAAUACUUCUGCAACUUUGUUGAAUUAAUAAAAAUACUUAGGCAACUCCUAAAAUCACCAAACUACUCCUGGUCCAUAGUUGGAUUAUUUCCAACAUGAAACAUUUUAGUUUGGGGAUAUUUGAGCAUUUAAAUAUUUUAUAUAAUUUUAAAUGCCCAAAUUCAAAUAUUUAUGAUUUAAUUCACAAACCCUAAGAUGGCCUAGGAAAAUGUGCAUCACUUUUGGCAGAGGUUCUGAACCAAGACAAAAAUGAUGGGCAUUUUAGAAGGGCAUUUCAGGUUCAUUGAAAAAGUUUUUAGUAAACCCUAAUUGGUUUCAGAGGGGACUGGGGGUUCUGUCAUUCCCAUUUCAGGUUUCUGAUGAAAGAAUAAACAUGAUGCAACACUCUAAUGCAUGACUAGCUAGGGUGUGACAUACUUAUGUUUGAUUAAUUCUCCUAUGAGUAAAUGAAUUGAUCAAGUGUAUAACAAUUGUGCAGAUGUGCCCGAAGGUUCUUUCAUGCCUUUGGUCCAAUGAGGUCAACCGUUUCACCUCACGUGAUAAAUCGAGUUUUACAUACACUUGCUUGAAGCUCAUGAGUAUGAACGCUGGAAGAUAUUUUCACCUAAAUAUGUUUAAGGUAAUAAAUAUUCUGAUAGAGCCUUCCUUCUGCUGGCCGAGCUCCUCCUGAUAUGCUGUAUUUUAUCUUAGUUAAAUCUUAAUAAAUAGUUACCGUCAAUGGUAGUACAUGCCUAUGCAAAAAGAAAAAACGUCGAACUUGUGUUAUCUAUGUUAACAUUUCUUUUCAUCGUAUCAAUGCUUACACAGGUUCACAUAGAAUCUUAAUAUGGUUAUUUUCAUUUUAUUGUUAAAACAGGACUGUGAAAGAAGAGCAGUACCUAAACUGUUCCAUCACCAAACUAAAGAAACUACAGAUCCACCCCCGACAAACCUUCGUACGGAUAAAAAUCAUUCAUCGAUGCCAAUCUAAGACUGCCAUUGAGGAAUUGAGGGCGAGGAUACUCUAUUCAUUUUGAUGCAUGUACCAUGCAUCCAGUCUGUGGUGGGGGUGGAGCAGCGAGGCUCGAGAACCCAGGCAGCGGACGCCUCAUGACUUGGAGGAGCGACCAUACAGACAAGGAGCAGUAGCCUCAUGGAUCUACAGGGAAGCGUCACCGAGGGAUGGCUGAUGUCAAGGUGAGCUUCUGUCAAUCCUUCUCCCCCUUUAACUCCUGAUCUGUGUCACUCUCUCUCUCUCACUCUCUCUCUCUCUCUCUGCCCAUAUAUGCAAAGACCGCUCUGUUCAUUUCAUUCUCAAUGUUGUUACCGUGUUCAUAUUUUUUUGAUAAUUUGUAUGCACUUUGUAAGCAUAUAAAUGUUUUUUCUCCUAUCAUUUUUGUUGACAUGAUGAUAGGUUCUGGAAUUUUGGAGUUAACAGAUCUGUUUACAUAUUUGUUUGUUAGGCACACAUAGCUCUGGCUGCCGCGGAUAGGCAGUACUCAACGGAUGAUAUCCUCCUGACUCUGACUGAACCCUGUUUCGUGCAAACAUGCUCUGUAUUUUUUUUGGUAGGAACAUUAAGCUCUAAAGACAUAAUUAUUCAGACUGCAAGAUUUUUGCUUUGGGUUUCAGAAAAACUGUACAGACCUGCUUGCUGUAGUAUCCGUGUUAUGUACUUAGUGUCAAAUACAAAGUUCAAAUAUCAUUUGAUACAAGGAACAGGCAUCCGAACUUUAUAAAAGUAGAUAUAGCAAACAUUAGGCUUGAUUGCAUUAAUAAUUUAUAUAGUUGCAGAUGAACUUACUUCUGGUACUAAUCCUUUGAUGCUUUCCUUUUUAUUUUCACCAGUACAAGAUUAAGCUUGACAGUGAAAUCUUGGAUAGUAAGUAACACCCUUUCUGCAUAUUUAGAAUCUGUAUGCAAACUCACACCAGGUGCCAGGUAAGCUGGUUUAAUUUUACUUUGGUUUUACUAACCAAAUUAGUUUUAAUAAUCCAGUUCCAUUUUUGUCUUCCCUGCUAAUUUGUGCCUUUUUGUGUCAGAUGCAUCAUAGUUAAUAAAAAAACUUCUGCUGUAAUGGAGGUACUGCUCUUUAGUAGUUUGCUUAAUUUGAUUUUAUCACCUCAAGUGUUUUACACAAAAUUUGAACUAUGUGCAUCUACUAGUGAGUCCUUGGGCCUCGCUCUAUUUCAGUUUUCAAGAUGGAAGAAUGUCUUAAAGUUUCAACUACUAUUUACUAAUUGUAGGUUCCUUUGAAGAUUCCGCCUAAUCUUUAGAAACAGAAAAUUAGAAGUAUAUAUUGUCCGCUAGAUGCAAGCAUAAGUAGCUUAAAACUGAAACGCCGGCAUCUCGGACCUCCUCCAUGGUUUGCCAGGCUACCAAGAUCAAUAAUGUAGCGGCAUGAGGAGGGAAUUUGAUCAAGGCAUAAGUAGGUAAAUACCCCUAGCUAAUUUCUUUAUUAUAUUUUGCCCUUCUCUCACUUUAUUCUAUUCUACCUUUUAGUGAUUGUAUAAUUAAAAUAUUCAAUAAACAUACAUUUACUUAUGCUUCGGAGGAUAAGACUUCUAUAAAUACACCCACCCAUGCCUAAGAUUUUAGCAAAUAAAUCUUGGCUCAUUAAAUUUUGUUUUUAAUGAAAGGAACAAUUUCUUCAAUGACAAACUACAUCUUUUUCUCUGUUAGGCUGUAGAAAAGAUAGGUGAUAUUAAAUGUUUCCUCACAGAUAUCCUCUCUAAUCGACGAGAAUAAUUGAGGAUGUAACGAUGUGAACAUUGGUUGUUUAUCGACAUGGUACUAAUGUUGCCUUAAUGCACAAUAAAUUGAAAUAUCCUCCUCUCAGUAUAUGCCUCUACAAAAGGAUGCCUAAUGAAUUCAAUGGUUUGCCUCAUUUUUACAAAAAUUUGGACCAUUCUAGCUCAUUGAGAUAGUUUCUAAUUUAGUUUGUUGAUUAUAUUUUAUUACUACAAUUUUACUGGGCUGUGUCCUCAUGGAUUUCAAGUUUCGUUGGAGAUAUGUCAUCUACCAAUGUUAGAAGCACAGGUGCUUCCAUAGAAAAAUUUCUUCGUCUCGAUUCCUUCCCUUUGAAGGAAACUCCAAAUCGAGUCGUCCGUGGCAUGCGUAGGCUUGCUAAAAGCUGACUCAUGUCUUAGAGAUUUUUAGUAGUGAAUUUAAGUGCAUGGUUACUGAUAUGGCUAUGGAAUGCACAGGUUGUACAACAACUAAGUUUGUAGAGUGAAUUCACGUGCUCAUAAAGGAAGUGGUGAAACCCAAUAAACAAUAUCAUAUGGAUACAUCUUAAGAGGUGCACAAUUUGCGUAUAUUUCGAUUGUGCUCCUUCAGGCCAUCUUUGAUGCUCAGAUUGUGCUUUCAUUGACAUUCACAUAUUCUUGUUGUUAUUAUGUAUGUGCAGCUAUUGAGAUAGGUCUCUUAUAUGAAUUUUAGAUGUCAUUUCUAAAUUCAUGUUGUAACUAUUUCUGCCUUGCUAAGCUGAGAUCAGGGACUGCUGGUCAUUUCUAAAUAUCAGGACCCAACCAGCCUCAUUUCUAAAGAUCAGGACCCAACCAGCCUCAUUUCUAAAGAUUAGGAUCCAACCAGCCAUCCUAAUAUGAGUGUCGGAUAUUGGGAAGUUUGAAGAAGUCUAACAUGCAUAACAUUAGGAGCCCCCCUCUCCCAGUCGAGAUUAGGCAAGGCAGAUGGGAAGCAACGGCACCCCCUCUCCCUCGAGCUCUAGAUCCAUGGCACCAGCAGCGAGGUAAGCGGCGGCACCUCCUCUUCCAUCAUUUUUUCACCAUCUCCGGUUAAGUAUUAGAUUUGCUUGGGUCUGUAUGAAAGGUUUACUAAAAUUUUGAAUGAUGUCCCAUAUACUUUAGUGCUGAUAUGUUUGUCUUAAAUUCUUAUGGCCUGAUCUCUGUCCAUAGGAAUGUGACUAUUGGCUCCGUUGUCUCUUAAAAGGGAGAAUGGAUAAUGCAAAUUUGGUGACUAAACUUGGAGACAAGCUCUCCGUCUCCUCUGCAUGUAUCCCUGUCUCUGUUCUUAGGAGACAUGUUGAAGAGUGUCUUCCUCUUGUUGCUUUGUAGGGCACGUCUCAGAAUCCACCAUGUCAAGAACUGGUAGCCAAAGAUCUCCAUGGAACUGAGUGGCAUUUCUUGGUGACUUUACAAUUUGAGUAUUCAGCUUGAAGCCCUUAAAUUUCGAGUCCUUGUAUUCUUAUUGUUUUGGUGUAGCACUUCAUGUAACAACUGAAUGCUGAAUUCAUUACUUCAUGAGUAUGUGUGGCCUCUGAUUCUAUAUCAUGUCUUUCAGUGUUUUGUGUUUUAGAUUCCCUAAUCUCCUUGUAUUUGAGUGUCAUUUAUUUAGCUCCUUCAAAAUUUAUAGUGCAACUUCCUAAAUGCUAUGUCAAUGUGUUACCAAAGAUAGAAAAAAGAAACUGGAAUGGGCAGCUGCCAACCUAGCACCGCACAGCUUCCUCUCAGGUGGCGCCCCAACCCCUAGUUAAAACCAUUCAGCUGCGCAUCAAGGGCGGGCACUCGCGAUGUCCACGUCGGCAACGGUACGAGACAAAAAGGUUCCCUUCGUCGAGAAGAAAGAGAGAAAGAGAUUGCGCAGCCCCCAGUCCUCAUCCCCGAUUCCUCUCCCUCUCCCUUUCCCUCGUCUGCCGCCGCCAGCCCCACCGCGGACGGCCCUGUCAGAUCUCGUCCCGAUGAAGUCAAGGACGAGCUCCACCCGGACGAGGUCGAUCCGUCCCCUGCCACACUUCUCCAUCGCGUCACCAUAUUCGGAGGAGCCGCCACUGCUGCUGGCGCAUCUGCUCCUCCCGGAGUUGUCGCCAUCGGCAGGAGGAGUGCCGGACCGCGCGCCAACUCGAGGACCGCCGCUCCGGCGGACCGUUGUUUCUGGCCGCCGUCCGCCUCUGGUGCCCCGUCCAUUCGCCACCAGUCACGCACCAGGUAGGAACUCAAGCUCCCUGCCUCUACAUGUUCCCAGGUACGGCAGAUCUUCAUCCCCUUUUUUUCUAAUCUAUAUAUCAGAUAUGGUGGUGUGUGGCAUUUUUAGCUUGGCAGCUGUAGAUGGGAUCAUUUCAAAAGAUUCUUGGACACCCCUUUUAGUUGUCAUCCCUGGAUUAACCAGUGAUUCUGAUGCUGCUGUUAGUCUCUAACCUUUUUCUGAUGUUGACUUAUACAGUUAUACCUGCGUUGCAUAUUUGAAGAGAUCUAAGGUUCAUGAUUGGACGACAUAUUACUAUAUUUGUAACCAUUCUGAAGAUUUAAUUGGCUAUUGCAGUAUGCAGAACACUUGGUUCAUUCCAUAGCAAGAAAAUGGUGGAAUGUUGUUGUAAGUAACCACAGGGAUCUCGGUGGUGUGUCCAUUAUAGUAAGUUCAGUUAUAUAAUUUACAUUUCCAGCUGUUAAUAUUUCACUCCACAAUCUCCCUGUACAGAUAAAAGGUCGCCUCCCUGCUUGUCACCGCGCCAUGCCGCCUCACCCCGGAUAGUGGCCAUUGCUCCGCCCGCGGCGCCUUCCAGCCAAGAAUGCCAUCUCCACCCGUCCAGGUUCACCCUCUCUCUCUCUCUCUCUGAUGAACACAUCAUUUUAUUCUGACUGGAUGCUAGAGGUAUGUGAUGAUGCAGCAAAUUAUGUGUGUGUGCUUGCAGGUAACUCAGCCGACUGGCCUUUUCACGAUUUAAAACAAAAUGGUGUGCUGAAGAGAGACACCUUACUUUGGAUAGAGAUUAAAAUGGAAUCUGCUUGGACUAUGCUUUCCCAUACAGGUUUGAUUCGUAUAUACAUCUCAAGUUGGCUAUAUCUGGAUGGGUUGCAGUUUGCUUCUUUCAAAAAGACGAGGUGUUCUGGAAUGAUUUGCUUAUCUGCUUUAUGCAUGAUCAUCCAUUUUAUAGAUUAUAUAGGGUGUUGGUAUCUUUCUGUACACUGGCAUGAUCUCUAAAACAAGUCUCAGGCCAUAGAUAGGAUUGUCAUCAUGUAUGUUAUUUAGUUAUAUAGAAAAACAAAUCACAUAACUGCACAACACAGAACAGUACUGCUUCUGAACUGAUGUUGCCAUUGAUAAGGUUACUAAUGUUAGUUGGUGUCGGCUCUAGGGUGUAUAGUUUACACUCUAUGAAUCAUGUCAAGGUUCUGUAGAAAUCGGUUAUGUGUUUCAACAUUUUACAAUGUUAGUCGUUUAUCUAUUAUGUUCUACUCCCUCCGUUCCUAAAUAUAAGUCCAUUUGGAGAUUUCAAUAUGGACUAUAUACGGAGCAAAAUGGAUGAAUCUACACUCUAAAGUAAGUCUAUAUACAUCCGUAUGUAGUGUGUAUUGAAAUCUCUAAAAAGACCUAUAUUUAGAAACGGAGGGAGGGAUUUGUAUCUGUGGGUUUCUCAAAAUAAUUGUAUGUACUGGGAGAGGAGGUUUCCACGACUAUUGAUCAUUGAUCAGUUAGAACUUCUGCUGAAGAAAGGUGCCCUUUGGUUAACAUUUCUGAUAUAUAUAACAUACGACGUUGGAAUUUCCAUUGAAAUUUUGAAGGAAAGUACAUCAAUAGAAUGGCCUUUCUUCCGGUGGCCACCCCCUCCCGCCUUUCUGUUGCGUAUAUUCAUUUUGGAUAUUGACCAUGGUUGCAUAAAUUUAAGUUGCUUGUGAUCUUCUGUCUAUUUCCUGUUAAUUAUAAAUAAUCAGAACCAUCUCUGGUCAGUACACCAUAGCACAAUACCACACGGAUGCUUGGUAGUGCUUUUCAUAAAUUGGUAGUUUUUGCUUUGGUGGAGAGCUUUUGACGAAUUACUGGGUAUGCAAAUCUUGGUUUGAUCCGUCUACUAAUUUAUACUCUAAUGACAUGGAAGUCGAUGGCGUGAAAUGCCUAGCUGUUGACAUCCCCCCUCAGAGUUUUCUAGAGAGGUGAGCAAUUUAUAAUAACAAAAACAUAAACUAUUUUUGUUGCAGUUCUAGUUUGUUGAAAUGAGAUGGCUCUUGUUCCAUUGGACUCAAACUCUGUUACAAGAUUCCCCUUGCAUAAAUUUUUGAAGGAAGAGUGAAUUUCGUCAUGAACUUGACUGAACCAAACUUCUGAUCAUGUCAUUCCACUCCUUUCAUUAUGCUAUUUGAAGGUUUUGUGUCGAGUCAUUGACAUGUAAUGUUUUAGACAUAAUGGAUGAAAUCAUGUUAAUUCUAGCUCUGGUUCUUAUGUAGUGAUGCAUGCCGCUCACCUUUAUGUUUUCCAUUAUUUUGCAGAGAAUGUGUACAUGCAAAUUUUAUUCAUAGUGAACCUACGUGGUAGUUUUUGUUCUGAAUAUAUGCGUUCUACUCUGCUUGCAUCAGGCCAGUUCAUGCUUCCGAAUUUGUGGUUUUGAUCAGUGGCAAGCAUGUACAUAGCUGCAGCAGAAUUCAUUAGAUUAGACACGGUUACCAGUUUGUGGAUAGGUUGUAAUAUCUUUUAUCUUAUCAAUAUAUUUGAUGUUCGUUCGUGUAGCCUUUGGUUUCUAUAUAUUGAUUCAGUGUUGUACCCAUGCUGACAAUUCACGUACCAUUUCUGGCUAAAAAGGAAGGGAAACAAGCUUGCCAUUAAUUAAUGUAGUAAUUUGACUAGGUAAUGGUUUGUGGAAGGGAUUAAGAUGUGCAGACAACGUGGCUGCUCAGAGUAACUGUCCCAGGGCGGUUGACAACCAGGCAGCAGCGCAGAGAAAUUGUCUCAGGAUAGCAUGUUUGAGUAAGUUUUUUCAUAGUUUUCUCAAACACUUGUCUGCCAUUAUUUUAGAAGUAAGAGUGUUGAUUUUGUUACCUCCUGUUCUUAUGAAAAAAUAGUAAAAUCCUGAGAAUUAUUCCUGGUCUUAAUACAUCAUUUCGUUUACUGGUUUUGGGUCUGUUAUGGGUGUUGGAGGAGAUAGAUCAGGCAGAACUACAACCCGAGGUUGUGCAGGUUUGGUAUACCUCUUGCCAAGGUUAUAUCAUUUAAAGUUUGGCGAAAGACAAAAAUAUAUAAUAGGCAAAUAAAGCUUAGUUCAUCACUAAAAUAAUUAUGAAUAUCAAUGCAGUAAAGCUAUGAUGUAUGCUGUCAAUAACAUUUUAUAACUCUUUGGUAACAUCACUGAAACUAUUGAUUUGUCUUCUCUAAUUUAUUACAGUUAGCUUUGUUUUAGGUUGGGUGUUAAUAGAAAACAUUCAUUAUUUGCAUCAGCUAUAAGUUGACAUUAUGCAAAUGACAAUAACAAAAAUAGUAUGACACAAAUUCAGGUGAUGACCAACUAAGGAGAGGUUGAUGAGAUCAAUGACACGAGAGGGGUGGACAGGCAGCUGCAAAGGAUCCGAGGAGCAGCCGGUGAACAAGAGGAGCAAAGACAACAUCUCUUGCGUCACUAUAAACAUCUGCUGCUAGCAGAGCUUCAGCCGGUGAACAGGAGGAGCUUCAGCUCCGUCGUCGUAAACUUCAAAUGUUGGCCGAGCUUCAAACCUCUAGCCUGUCAAGUGUACAAUUGGUCCAAUAGCUCUAGUUGGAUGGCAUUUUUCUUUCUCCCUUAUCCAAGCUAUUUUCGUCCAUCCGAACAUAUGGGGAGGAAAUAGGAGUUGCGGUAAUUGACGUCUGAGCUCAUGCUCAUCUACCCGUUGAAACUAAAUUUAAAAAUAUUUAAAAGAUAAAAACGUGUAUUUUUUGACAUUAAAGAUGGCCAGUUGUGCAAAAAUUUAUGAUGUUUGGACAUUUAAGGACCUGCAAAAAAAAACCAAAUCAGGUCUAAAUAGUGUUCAUUUUCUAAGUUUUUUUCACGGUCAAUUUUUUUUUGUCACGACAUCCUAGAAUGUCCAAACACCACGAAUGUUGCCAACCACAUCACACGCUAGAGCAUCUUUAGAUGCCAAAAAAAAAUCAAUUUUCUUUUUUGCAAUUUUAUUUGAUUUUACUGUUCGCCACACUUGUCGAACCGGAGAUGCUCUUAGAUUUAGUUGGGGUGAGAGGAGAUGAGGCCAAUUUCAACAAGCGGAUGCAGAUUUGAUUUUGGGUUUUUCAGUCGGCUUAGAAUCCAAAUCGGACGGGCGUUUGGAGUUGGCCUUACGGUGUGACCUCAGCCGUCUGAUCUUGACGCUCCUGCUCCCCUCCGCAUCCGACAGCGGACUCACCGCCGUCGUCCGCUGCCUUCCUUCCCGGCGUCCAACGCCUCCACCAGUCCCCUCGCCGAAUCAACGAGCGGUCGCCGCCUCCCGAGUCCGGGCGGGUCGCCGCACCGCGCUGACGACGCCACCACCGGCAGCCACCUACCCACCGUCGCCGCGCCUCCCCGGGGGUUCCUUCUUUCCGGGCCCGCAGCCGCAGCUCGUCGGAUUCGCUCCGCAGUUCAGUUAGCGGGGCUAGCCCUCGCUGCUGCGGCGGCGGCUCCCUAUGGGGAGCUUCGCCGUCAUCUCCCAGCAUCCGGUAAGUCCAGUCCUCCAGCAGAUUCCCAAUCCGCCACGCUCCAGUCAACCAAGCAUUUUCAAUCAUCGAGCAUGAUAGCACAACGCUGACUGAAAAAUUGCAAUGCAGCAUCAUUCUUUUCUGAAGAGGAAGAAGGGAUGCACGAGCGAGCCGUUUGGAUUUGGGUGGACGAACAUGACGUUUGUUUGAAGGGAUCUCACCGCUCCCUUGUGCUGUUUGCAGUCCUCUGCACCUACCACAGCUCCACCGGUCGCAGUCUGCAGCAGUCCACGCGUUCUCAUUCAGAGGUCUUUGUUUCCCUUACACACACGUUCACAUUGGCCUGCCGUGUCCAGUCAAGCAUGCCUUGGCGUCCAUGUCUGGUACACAAAUCCUUCAAAGGUCAUCUUCACCCAAGAUCAUCCAACCUCAAACCUUAGCACUCCCUGUUGUUCUUUCACAUCGACAUCAUGCCUUCAGUCUUGCGUAUGCUCUGUAUUUUGCUCAGCCUUCUCUGUUUCAACACCUCAAUACUAGCUGCAGCACAAGCAAACAUGUCUGAGAUCGAUCGCCAUGCCCUCCUUUGCUUCAAGUCAGGCAUCAACUCUGAUCCCCUUGGCAUCCUACACUCAUGGGGCAAUGGCUCGCUUGACUUUUGCAGCUGGAAAGGGGUCGCCUGCGGCACCAAGUUUCCACCCCGGGUGGUCUCUCUUAACCUCACCGCUGCUCGUCUCGGUGGGCAGUUAUCUGGAUGCGUGGGCAACCUGACAUUUCUUUCUCGGAUGAACCUUGCUGAUAAUCAUCUGUCAGGAACCAUCCCCGAAGAGUUGGGUAAGCUUCCAAACCUUCAUACACUGAUUCUUGCAGGCAGCAAUCUGGAAGGUAACAUCCCUGAUUCACUAGGCGCUAGCAGUUUUCUUAGCUAUGUCGACCUUGCAAACAACACACUUACUGGCAAAAUCCCUCUCUCAUUAGCCAGUAGCUCCUCACUCAGCAAACUUAUACUGUCACGUAAUAGCCUCUCAGGAGAGAUCCCUUCUACUUUGUUUGGUAAUUCAUCCAAGCUUACCGUCGUUGAUCUCCAGAUGAAUUUUUUCACUGGUCCCAUCCCACAUUUCCAUAAGGUCACAACACUCAAAUUUCUUCGUCUGACAGACAACUUCCUCUCUGGGAGCAUACCUCCUUCAAUAGGAAAUGUUUCUUCCCUCACUUCUAUAUUGCUCGGCCGAAAUAGGUUAUCGGGAUUAAUUCCAGAGACUUUGAGUCACAUUACAAAACUGCUUGAGCUUGAUCUAAGUUUCAACAGCUUAUCAGGGAGCGUCCCGUUGUCUUUUUACAACAUGACAUCACUUGAAUUCUUUAAUGUGUGCAGCAAUGCCCUUGUUGGACAGAUGCCAUCUCACAUUGGUUUCUCACUACCAAACCUCCAGUUCCUUAUCAUGGGAAGCAACAGGUUGGAGGGCCUGAUCCCUGCUUCACUAUCCAACAUGUUAAAUCUCCAAACACUUGAUCUUUCAAACAACUCGUUACAUGGCUCUGUGCCAUCUCUUGGUUCUUUGGCAAACUUGGGUCGGUUGGAUUUAGGAAUGAACUUUCUAGAAGCACAUAACUGGUCAUUUCUUACAUCUCUAGCAAAUUGCACCCAGCUGACAAAGUUGUCCUUGGAAGGGAAUGUUCUAAAUGGCAGCCUACCUAUAUCAAUUAUUAAUCUUUCCAGGAGACUAGAACAUUUAUCGCUUGGGUCAAACCAAAUUUCGGGCUCCAUACCUGUUGAGAUUAGCAAUCUUGUUAAUCUCACUUUGCUUGGGAUGGAAAGCAAUUUUCUUUCUGGAAGCAUACCUUCUACCAUUGGCAAGCUACGAAACCUAUAUGUCCUAAAUCUGUCAAAGAACAAAUUAUCAGGUCAGAUCCCCCCCUCAAUUGGUGACAUUACUCAACUGGGCAAGCUUUAUCUUGAUGAUAACAACUUGAGUGGAAACAUACCUGGUAGUUUAGGUCAGUGCCCGGGGCUUCUUGAACUAAACUUGUCUCGAAAUAGUCUUGAUGGCUCAGUACCAUCCGAAUUGUUUGCUAGUCCUCCACUCUCCUUGGGUCUGGACUUCUCACACAACAGUCUCACAGGGGAACUACCAUUGGUAGUUGGUACACAUAGCAGUGGUGGUCCAGUAUCCCUUCACAUGGAAGGAAACAAGUUUCAUGGACAGAUUCCAGAAAGAUGGCAUCUACUAGUAUCAACCCAACAUAUUAAUCUUUCUCAUAAUGACUUAUCUGGUGCCGUGCCUGAAUUCUUUGAGCGAUUUGAUAUGCUGAAGCAACUUGAUCUGUCUUACAAUAACUUGGAAGGGUCUGUUCCUACUAGUGGGAUCUUUAAGAAAUAUGCUGCAGUAGUUCUGGGUGGCAACAAGGGACUCUGUUUAAAUUCCUCCAAGUUGAUAAAAAUAAGAAAUUCCUUUAGGCCAGCAUUACCAGUUUGUCCUCGCAUCUCAGCUUCAGUGACUAAAUCAAAACACCAUCUGUCAUUGCUGACGACCUCGCUGCUAAUUGUACUACCAACACUUAGUAUUGGUUCCAUGGUGUUGUUAUGGUUUCUGCUCACUCUUUGGAAGAAAGGGUUGUUUUCGUUUUCACGAUGGGAUCUUGUGUCCAAGGUGUUUCCUAAUAGAAGAGAAGUGCAUACAGCCCCGUGCCAUGAUGAUAAGAAGCUGAAGAGAGUGUCAUACCAGGACAUUCUUAAAGCUACCAACUGGUUUUCUUCGGUCCAUACUAUCAGCACAACCUGUACUGGUUCAGUUUAUGUUGGUAGGUUCAAGUCCGACAGGAGCCUAGUUGCCAUCAAAGUAUUCAACUUGAGUGAACCUGGUGGAUAUGAUAGUUACCUCAUUGAGUGUGAAGUGCUACGAAGCACCCGCCAUAGAAAUAUAAUGCGACCUGUGACCCUAUGCUCAACAUUGGAUUCACAAAACCAUGAGUUCAAAGCACUAAUCUUCGAGUUCAUGGUUAAUGGCAGCCUAGAGAAAUGGUUGCAUUCUGACCAACACAAUGGAAUCACAGAUAAAGGGCUAAGCUUUGGCCAGAGGAUAUGCAUAGCAGCAGAUGUGGCUUCUGCUCUUGAUUAUGCCCACAACGAACUGACACCUCCUCUGAUCCAUUGUGAUUUGAAGCCAAACAAUGUCCUUUUGGAUGAUGACAUGACUGCGCGGCUCAGUGACUUUGGCUCAGCGAAGUUUCUAUCACCAGGUCUGCUAAUUCCUAAAAGCCUGGAUGAUGUUGGAGGGACAAUUGGAUACCUGGCACCUGGUGAGUUUUACCUUUUCUGUUUCCACUUAAUUAUAGUUUGUAUCAUAUGUGUGUGUAUUAUCUAAACACAUUACAUCUUCACAGAGUAUGGAAUGGGUUGCGAGAUCUCUGUAGACGGCGAUGUGUAUAGUUUUGGAGUGCUUCUACUGGAAUUGCUUACUGGAAAACGACCUACUGAUGAUAUGUUUGUCGAUGGACUUAGCCUUUGUAAGUUCUGUGAAUCUAUGUUACCCGACAGAGUUGCAGAGAUUCUUGAUCCUCAUAUGGCGCAUGAGGAGCAUCAAGGGUGCGCAGAAGGAUGGAUUCAGAGAUAUAUUGUCCCCUUGGUUGCCCUUGGGCUGUCAUGUACCGUGGAAUCUCCAAAGGAUAGGCCCGGAAUGAAAGACGUUUGUGCAAAACUUUCUGACAUUAGAGCCUCUUUUCUUUAACUGUCAUGAUGAUUAAUGAAUAUAUCAAUUAUGUUAGAGCAUACUGAUUCAUUGUAUUAAGAAUGUGUUUUUUUACUGGUACAGUGCAUAUUGUACCCAAUCUAUUUGACAAUCUGAAACAAACUGUGGAGACAGAGAUGUGAUUUGCAGUUAGUCAUAGUAGGAUAUUGGAAAUAUCAACCAUUCUUUGUUCCAGAUUUGUUGAUUAUUUUUAAUUUUGAUAUUGACGUGUAUGUAUUGUCAAAUUCUUGCACUAAUUUAUUUGCAAAGGGUGUAUGUAAAGGUGUUUUCCGAUGAAGUGAUAUGUUUAAUUUACAGCCUGAUGGGUAAUAUUCGAAUGAUAUGUCUUAAGGUAUUGCAUCCUGCAUCAGUAGCCAAUUAUAAAGUAAAGGGCAGCCCCAGUGCAUGUAGCUCCCGCUUGUGCAGGGUCUGGGGAAGGGUCCGACCACUUUGGGUCUAUUGUACGCAGCCUUUCCCUACAUUUCUGCAAGAGGCUGUUUCCAGGACUUGAACCCGUGACCUCAUGGUCACAAGGCAACAGCUUUACCACUGCGCCAAGGCUCCCCUUCAGUAGCCAAUUAUAAAGUAAAGAAAGAUAUUCAUAUGACAUAACGAACAAUCCUCUUUUGCUCUCAAACUGUUAUCUCCUUGCAUGAAUGAGGUUGCAUAUGCUUGAGUUGUCCAUGGCCCAUUAUUGUUAAAUGUUGAAAGGAAUGAAAUUCCUGAAUAAGUUUUUUACGUCAGGAGAGGAACACUAAAGAGGCCCAUGAUGGUGUUACUUGAAAGGGAUGAAAUUACUGAAUAGGUAGACAAGUAUGGGCAAGACAAAUAAAACUUCUUUUUUUUAGGUGGAGAUGACAACAAAGACUGUUGAAAAAAAAAGAUAGUAACAUAAAUUAAUACUGUAUGAUCCAUCAUUGCACUGCCAAGGCAUUCAUUUAAGUCAAUCUUGAGUCUCCAUGACAUUGUUCUUCGGUAGGCGAAGUGUGAGUGUGUGCACUUAUACUCGCUAUUUUUCAAAAACCAUAUGAAAUGACAUUUUUCCUACCAAAGUUUUAAUUAACGNNNNNNNNNNNNNNNNNNNNNNNNNNNNNNNNNNNNNNNNNNNNNNNNNNNNNNNNNNNNNNNNNNNNNNNNNNNNNNNNNNNNNNNNNNNNNNNNNNNNNNNNNNNNNNNNNNNNNNNNNNNNNNNNNNNNNNNNNNNNNNNNNNNNNNNNNNNNNNNNNNNNNNNNNNNNNNNNNNNNNNNNNNNNNNNNNNNNNNNNNNNNNNNNNNNNNNNNNNNNNNNNNNNNNNNNNNNNNNNNNNNNNNNNNNNNNNNNNNNNNNNNNNNNNNNNNNNNNNNNNNNNNNNNNNNNNNNUCUUGUACGAGUGCAUAACAUGUUGUUCUGUUUCAACCUGUUGUUUACUCCGGCUUCUUGUGGAAGCGCCCUCUCAAUAUACACUUCCAUAAAUUUCCUGUAAUUCAUCCAUGAGUUAAAGACUCUUGCAUUGAGUAUCCAAACCUGCAGUUACGUUUAUUUACAAAGCUACACAACAUAUAUGCAAACAUGAUUAGGAUAAAAUAUUUAUAAUGAUAUGAUGUAAUUAUAGUUGGAAAAUGGUGUAUUGGUUGAUUACUUACUGUGGGCAGUUCCAAUAAGCAUGAAUUGGCCAAAAAGAUCCAUAUAGUGAAUAGAAGCUUGAAUGCCAACCAUUUCAGAUUUGCACGGCAAAAAGGACACGGUGAUUUCUUUACACAAGAAAUGCUACUUUGCCAAAAAGAUAGGUAACAACUGAAUCCAUAAAGUGAUCACUUCUGCUUCGGUACACCCCUCCCGGUGCUAAACACAUCAACGGUGGAGAUCUCUUCAUACCCCGUCAUAAUAAAGGCUAGGUUGGUCUUUUUUAAUAGCAUGCAGUCCGUACCGAGCUCGAUACGCGGCCUAUGCAUGUAACGCCCCUGGACCAACCCAUUUUACAUUUUUGUCCCUCUUCUGUAAGACCUUCAAAAAAUAAGUGCCCAACGAGAUUCAAACACGGCACCUAUACCCUUAGUACAACCGUGGUAACCAACCACACUAUUUUCUUGUUGUGUCUGGUCACCUUCUUUUUUUCUUCUUUAAUUGUAACCCUAACCAACACAAGUCUACUUGGAUUUUUUCGGUUUUUGUUUGUCCAAUUUUCUUCUAUUUUUUAUUUUUCUCUUUCUUUAUAUUUUUAUCUUUUUUUUAAAUUCAUGAAUUUUUCCUUAAAUCUGUGUACUUUUCAAAUUCCUGCACUUUGUUUUCAAAUCCGUGAAUUUUUUUCCAAAUCCGUCAAUAUUUUUUCAAAUACAUGAACUCUUUUCAGCUUUUACAAACUUUCCUUUAAAGCCCGCAAUUUUUUUCAAAUUCAAGAAUUUGUUUUAUGAAAAUUGAUGAACUUUUUUUAAAUCCAUGAAUGCUUGGGGCGCCCCCACAAGUGCCCGACGGGAGUGAUGCAGUCGCCUCUUACAUUUCAUAAACAUUUUUCUAAAAAAACAUGUACAACUUUUAAACAUGCGAGUCUUUUUCAAAUAUCACGAUCAAUUUUUUAAAUGCUAUGAACUUUUCUACAAAUAAUUCGAACAUUGUUUUAUAUUUUCAUGAACAUUUUAUAAAAUUUCACAAAAUAUUUAAACGUGUGAACAUUUUUGUAAAUAUACGAUUUUUUUGGUUAGAUGAUAUGAAAUAUUUUUAAAAUUAAGUUAACAAAUUUGCACUACACUUUUUUUAAUACACCGUGAUUUUUUUUAAAAAAUUAAGUAAAUGCUAUGUCUAGUUACCCUGAGACGGUACUAGCGCUCGCCUAUAGAGUUCGCUCGAGUGGGCUAGUCCAUUAGGAGCUGUGCACGUGUUUUUUUUUUCCGAAGCUUCCCUGGACCGGCACAGACCGGUGUAGGAACCUUCCGCCCAGUAUUGGGAAGGUUUUGCAAGUUUAUUUUUUAUUUAUGUUUUUAUCAGUUUAUAAUGAAUUACUUUUUUUCAGUUUUCUCUUUUCUUUUUCUUUUUCAAAUUUUCAAAUACAUGUCAACUUUCUAAAUUCAAGUUAAUCAGUUUCUCUAUAUAGGCUGGACAUUUUCUAGACACAUGUUAAAUAUUUUUUUCAAAUACAUGAUGAAUAUUUAUCUGAAUACAUGUUGACCAUUUGGGAAAAGCUGACUUCUUUUAAUACCCGAUGAACAUUAUUAAACACAGGUUGAACUUUUUCAAAAUCUUAUGAUUUUUUUAAAUUGUGCAAACAUUUCAAAACAGUUUAUGAACAUUUAUUGAUAGAAGUUUGCGAAGUUCAGAACAUGUAUUCAUUUGAAAGUAAGUUCACGGAUUUAAAAAAAACUUCACAAAUUCAAAAAAAGGAAGAAAAAAAACUUCACGAAUUUAAUAAAAAGAAAAAUAAAAUAGAAAAAAAUACGAAGAAUAAAAUGCGAAACAAAACAAAAAUAAAAUAAAACCAGACCGAGAAGAUGCCAACAAGAAGAAUAAAAGAAGUAACUAGGCACAAAAAGUGAGUUGUCCCAGUUGAUUACAACGGGUGAAAGUAGGCCGCACUUUAAGAUGUUUUAAUAGUAAUUUAAAAUGUCUUAUAUUUAUUUACUGAGGGAGUAUAGAUUAACCAGAUUAUUUGGCUACUAAGGGACCUAUGCCCCCCUCCCCCUAAAAUUCUAAAGCAUGGCCUAAAAGUUCAUUUUUUUUUCUACCGGUAUAAGUUUGUUGGCUUUCAGGACGCGCUACUGGUGAAGAGCAAGACGCAGUUUGACAAGACUAUGAGGUACACGACACCACCGACAUCAUUUGGGGCAACACCAAGCUGUUCUCCAGGGUUGUCACAUUUUAGUUCUCAAGCUGAUGCUUGCGAACUACAAUGUGGUGACCGAUAGGGUUGCAAUUGACCAGACCGUGACAUUGGCAGCGUGAGGGCAUGUCAACAACGAGGACCUCAACAAUAUUGAGACGUAGCUUGAUCGCCCGUGGAUGAACCACACCCAUGUCAUGUUUAUGCAGAGUUACCUCGGCGAGCUCAUGGAGGGUACGGGCUGGGUGGAUUGGAAGGGCUGGGCGCCCUUAAACAAGGAUGAUCAGGUGAAGUUGGCCGUCGUGACGUUCACCUGUAAUACAUGGAAUACAGCAGCUAUGACCCCUGGCUACCUCCAAGGUGAAGCGUUGCGUCAAGUGGAGUGGCUGUCACCGCGUCAUCCAUGCGCGUGAUGCUGCCAAGUACACCGUCGAGCGCUUCAUCACCGGAAACCAGUGGUUGCCUGACCGCCAGGUCUUCUUCAAACCUGCAAGUAGCUAACUGGCUCAAUCGCUCAGCAGCCAAGUGACUAGUACAACCUGCUCCGGAUUAUAAGACAUUUGAAUAUUUUAAUAUAAAUUAUAUAUGGACUGAAAUGAACGAACAAACACACUAAAAUGUGUCUAUAUAUAACCGAUUUAGAAAAAAAUAGAACAUCUUAGAAUUCAGAAUGAAGGGAGUACGUCGGUAUGCGGUAUGAUAACAUAACGCUCCAUAAUGUGGACAUGAAUAGUGUGAGGUGGGGUGGGACCAAAUCCCCACGGGCACAUAAGUUCUGAUUUUUGUUUCUCACCCCAUCUGAUAGGUGUGGCCCGUCAGGCUUAUUUUUUAAAAUGUCACGUCGCCCGGCCAUGUUGUCCACAUAGUUGUUGCCCACGUGGCAGUUGCACGGGUCAACUGUAUGCCAACUAAGUGAAAUGUGUAUGUCAAGUCAUACUAGCGACCAUAUUGAGGCGCUUAAGCUACUUUAGUAAUUGUAUUUAGGGUACUCUGAAGUACAAUGACCAAAGUGAGACACGGACUCGAAUCCAGUGACCAUAGAUGAUUUUUUUUCUCUUUUGUUUUUNNNNNNNNNNNNNNNNNNNNNNNNNNNNNNNNNNNNNNNNNNNNNNNNNNNNNNNNNNNNNNNNNNNNNNNNNNNNNNNNNNNNNNNNNNNNNNNNNNNNNNNNNNNNNNNNNNNNNNNNNNNNNNNNNNNNNNNNNNNNNNNNNNNNNNNNNNNNNNNNNNNNNNNNNNNNNNNNNNNNNNNNNNNNNNNNNNNNNNNNNNNNNNNNNNNNNNNNNNNNNNNNNNNNNNNNNNNNNNNNNNNNNNNNNNNNNNNNNNNNNNNNGAAUAUAUUUCUCAAGUUUGUAACCCAUCGUCAGACUGAUUACAAGGGGAAUUACAUAAGCACGUGUAAUCGUGAUAAGAGGUAGGAACGCCAGGAGGAGGCAGCCUGCUUGUGCACCGGUUUCUUCAUCCGGUGCGUCCAGAGCAUGAGAUCAUCCACGAGUUUCCUGAGAGUGAGGAUACUGUGGUGAUUUUGUUGCUUGAAGGUCAUAGCGUUUCUGGAAUCCCAAAUCUUCCAUAGGAUGAUGAGGAGGACGGAGUGCCAGAUUACCGCAUCUACCUGUGUAGGUAGGCGGCAGUUCCAGAGUCCAUCAAUGGUAGUCGAAGGAGAGAUGCCGAUCCGUUGCCAAAUACGUUGUGAAAGUGGACAGUUUAGGAAUAUGUGUGAGCUGGUUUCACCAUCAUAUCCACAGCGCGGGCAUAGUGAGUCGGUGACGAUAUGCUUGCGCUGAAGGUUGCUUUUUGAGUUGAGUCGAUCCCGAAACAGGAGCCAUGCAAAGAUCUUAACGCAAUUUGGAACGCGUGAAGACCAGAUGGCAACGGCAUGCACGUCGUGGUCGUCAUCGUGGGAGCCCAUGGUUAGCGCAUAUGCUGCCCUCGUGGAGAAGCAUAAGCCACCGUUGAGGUAGCGCUCGUCCGGUCCUGUCGACAACCGGAAAUCCUGCAAGAGAGACAACAAAACGCACAACUCGGUAGCAGCAUCAGAUGUUAGGCGGUUCCGGAGGAUUGUUUCCAAACCGUGAUUCAGGACAGCAGCCACACGAGCUAGUGGUAUAGUGGUGUGUGAAUAUAGGCAGGGGAAUAGAGUAGCAAGGGGUUGGUUGUGUAUCCACGUAUCAAGCCAGAAGUACGUAUUAGUGCCAGAGUUUGUGAGUACAAAAGAGAUGGCAUGAAGUGCUGACAGCUGUUGAUUUAUUGUUCGACAAAUAAAGGAGUGACUAUUUUGUGGAGCAAUGAGGGCAUUUGGGUGUUGUAAGGCGAUCCAGUCUAACCAAGGUGUUGUGUCUGGUAAGAGAGCUUUUACAGCAAAUUUCAUAAGUAGGCAUUUGUUUUGCUGAUGAAGAUUUUUUAGGCCUAGACCACCACAGUUCUUUGGUUUACACACAUUUUUCCAGGCAACUAAGCAUUGAGCACCAGUGCAAGUUUCCUCCGCAGCCCAAAAGAAGGCAAAUUUCAUAAGUAGGCACCAGUGCAAGUUUUCUCUUUUGUUAUCUUGCAAAAAUAUGUGGAAGCAGUCAAUAAUGGUCUUGUUGGGCAAUAAUGGGCAUAGUUUGCUUUUCUUUGUAAAUACAAUAGCAAUGUCAGUGAAAAUGUGAGUGUAGGAACACCAACCUAUCCAUCUAAAUACUUAACUAUAUAUACGUUCUGAAGAAUCUUAAGAAUAACAUGAUGAAAUAAUUACCACUCUUGAAUAACUUUAUAGAUUUGUUUCAUGACCAUUUUUCUGCCAGUUAGAUGUGGUAGGCGAUCCUUAGUAUUGAUCUUUGCUAGUGUUGUGCCAACAUUCUUCAUUUGUUUCAACAUAUGAUUCUACGUGAACAUAGAUGCAGUAGUAUUUGAAUUUGUUAUUAUGAUGGUACAUGGUGCAGUUACGUCUAGUAAAACAACGUGCAAAUAUGUGUAGAAUGUUGUCAUCGUCAUUGAUUUAACAAAAUCAUUAUUUGCUUCAACCUGAUGUUUUCUCUGACUUCUCGUUGAAGCGCUAUCUCAGUGAGAAAACAGAUUCUCAAAUUUCUUUGCCUGACAGAGAACUUCCUCUCUUUUUUCCAAAAAAGAGUGAAUUUUAUUGACUUAAAAUGAAGCAUCGAGAGGACACAAACACAAUGAGCAUACACCCGGCCUCUGUAUAUCUAGGAUGCACACAGCCAAUACCAACGCGCACACGCAAAAACAAGCCAACAAUAGCAUAGUCAUAUAAGACCAAAGCUAUAAGUAGGCGAGGAAAAAAAAAGUAAACCCAAAGCUAUUAGAUCUGUGGUCGGUAAACUACAACAAUGACAAUAUCCGCACCAACCAUCUCAUGACACCACACAUAUGACAAAGUUUUUCAACAACAACGCCUUCAGGAAGGGAGCGACGCUCAAGCACUGUCGUCACCGGAUCCAAGCACGCAAGGUCAGAAUCUAGUUUUCACCCUAAAGAACCAGUCCGAGCAUCUUCGAGCAAUGCCUCUAAGAAGGUAACGACGUUAAGACGUUGUCAUUGCCUGGUACAACCAACUCGGGUCAGACCAAGGCUUUUGCCCCGUAGCUCGAGACUGGGUGCUCAAGUAGCACCACCAACGAUGUCGCUCAUGUGUUGUCACCACCAUUUUCCACGAUCUCGGCAGCUACAUGCGAUGUGCAACCGCCGUCGCGGCACAACCAUUCCUUUGUGUCAGAGCAUCUCCAACAGCCGCACUAAACAAGCGCCGCGUCACAAAAUAGGCCAUUUUAGCGCGCGCGCAACCCGACGAGUGGCUCCAGCGGGCGCGCAAUAACCGCGCGCACGGUAUAAGGAGUUGGGCGCGCGGUCAGAUACGCUAUCUCGCGCGGUGUAUUUGGGGCGCCCGGUUCCGCGCGCGGCACAUUCGAGCGCUCGCGCCGCACUCUCUCCUCUCCUCCUCCUAUGCCCCGCGUGCGCCGGCGCCGGCGAACUGCACCCAUGGACGGACGCGCUGGCACCCCACUCACCCCAUUGUACAGCCGUGACCCCCCCACCGCCGCCGCCGCCGAAAACCCUAGCGCGGGGAGCGUUGGCGUCGCCACCGCCGGAGCUCCGCCGAGCAUCGGCCUCGCACGCAGCCUCUUCUUGCCGCCGCGGAUGACCACGGCGACGGGUGGCGUCGCGCCGGUGCUGUCCCGUGCCGCCGCCGCACCAUCGAAGCUCCCCAAUGCAGCGUGGCCGAAGAAGGGCAAAACAUCCACGAAGAAGAACAAGACGGCGGACGGCUCCGGCAGCUCGAAGGCGAGGGAAAAGAAGCUUGCAGGGCGUUUGGCGGGCACGGCGGCUACCGAAGCGCCGGCGAGCUCACUCAUUGAGCCGGCCGCCGACGCGCACCACGUGUUCGAUGAAAUUCCCCCAAGGUAAAAAAAAAUUCCAACUUUUAUUUUCUUGUUAUUUUUUCAAUGCAUCAUAUAGAUAGCUUAUUUGCAUUGUUCAAAAAACUUUGUCCUCUCAACGAUGAUGCAUACAUGCCAAUUAUGGGUGUUGGCUCCAACAAUUCGCAUAGGUAUCAAACCAAUGACAUCCAUUUCGAAGACCAUGAGUUCGAGGUGGACGAGGAGGGUGAGGGCAUUGUCGAUGCGCCGAAAGGAAGAGCAGGCAAUUACACCAACAAAGAUGACAUCUUACUAUGCAAUACUUGGUUGCAAGUGUUGAGGGAUCCAUCCGUUGGAGGUGAUCAAAGUAGAGAUGCUUAUUGGCGGCGGAUGAAAGAACACUUUGAUGCUCACAACGUGAGUGGAAUUGACCGCUCCGAGAGAUCACUUCGGUCUCGAUGGUCGACAAUCAACUCGGAUUAUCAAAAGUGGGCGGCCGCACAAAAGUCGGUUGACAAGUUGAACCCAAGUGGCACAAAUGAGGACGAUAGAGUAAGUGGCAUUUCAUACAUGUUCAUCAUACUUGUUUUUGGUGUCCGAAGUGCUAACUUGCUUUGUUUUCAUGUAGUACAACAUUGCACAAAACUUGUUCAAAGAAGAGGAGAGGACAACCAAGAUGGGGAAGAUCAAGAAAGGAAGGAUCUUUACGUUGCCUCAUUGCUAUGAAGUGUUGAAGGAUGAUGAGAAAUGGAAGAAGCGUGAUGGUUUGGAUGAUUUGCAUUUGAGCAACAAACGCAAGCGAACAAUUGAGUUGAAUGAUGAUGAGGAGGAGGAAGAGGAUGAUGCAUCAAGUGAUGACGACAAGAAAAGCCCCACACCCAACUCGGUUUCAUACUCGAAGCCAAAACGACCGGAUGGGUGCAAGAAAGACAAAACCGAAAAGAAGAAGAGGAAAGGAGAUGAUGAACUCAAAAAUGCUAUGGAAGCUAUUGUGAAGGCAAGAAAAGAAGCCAACGAGGUGAGGAAAAUGGCAAGGAACCAAGAUAUGAAAGUGCGUUAUAUCGACUAGAGGGGGGUGAAUAGGCGAUUUUUAUGAAUUCUUCACUGAGGAAUUUGCUGGUGAGGAAAUUCCUAAAUGAAGAACUACUUGCAGCGGAAUAAGUACUCAAAAGUAAACAUAGCAGAACACACGCAUAGUCAUCAUGAUGAAAUGAAGACAAGCAUAGAGUACAAAAAGCGUAAACACAUGAUAACACAAGAUGAAGAUGGACAGACUAAAGAAAUUGAACUGAGGAAAUUUGGAAAGUCUUCAGUCAAAAGUCUUGAAACAGAUAUGAACAAGCACACAACAACAGAGAUGAGGAAAUGAAAGAGUUGAAGAAAUAGAACUAGUAGGCUUGGUGAAGACAAUGAUUUGGUAGACCAGUUCCAACUGCUGUCUCAGUUGUACAUCUGGUUGGAGCGGCUGAGUAUUUAAACUCGAGGAUACCCAGUCCCGGACACACAGUCCUCACCGUAUUCUACUUGAGCUAAAGUCACAUAGACCUCGCCCAAACACUCGUGGUAAGUCUUCAGGUGACUUCCGAACCUUCACAAACUCGGUCACCCGGCGAUCCACAAUUUCUCUUGGAUGCUCUAGACCUUGACGUCUAACCGUCUGGAAGAAGCACAGUCUUCAAAGGAAACAAGCGUCGAAUCCACGCAGGAUCAAUCUCUUUAGUGAUGCUCAAUCACUUUGGGGUUUGUAGGUUUGGGUUUGGGAUUUCCUCACUUGAUAAUUUUCACUCAAAGUCCUCGGAGGAUGGGUUGCUCUCAAAUGACAAGUGUCAGUUUCUCUUGGAGCAGCCAACCAACUAGUGGUUGUAGGGGGCGGCUAUUUAUAGCCGGGGAGCAGCCCGACAUGAUAAGACAUAAAUGCUCUUGUCUGAUAUGACCGUUAGGUGGGUAGAUAUUUUGGGACAGCUGGCGCGUAGCACAGCAACAGUCGGAAUAUUUGACUCUCAAAUACCUCAGGGCUAUCAUGUUCCUCACUUUGUAGGCAAUCCGCACUGGCGAAUUCCUAACUCAGUCAGAACAAAUUCCUCAUAGACCAGAAGAAUUUUGUCUCUAUCACUGAAGAAUAUGACUGAACUGUGCGAGAUUUCCAAUGGCUUCACUCGAAAGGAUUGGUAGGUGUAGGAUUUUGAGUUGAGCAUCACAUGGAAAAUUUUCCUUAGUAUUUCCUCGACCCCCUUUAACAGUACGGUGUUUCCUAUGACUCAAAAAAGAGAAAAUGAAAUAGUAAAAACAAGAGUCUUCACGCUUCAUGUUCCUCGAAUGAUUACCAAGUCUUCAAGGUCACAUCAAUUUCUUCACUUUCAAAGUCUUCAAAAAGUCUUUAGAAAUCCAAAGUCUUCAGUCGAAGAACUUCAUUUUUAGGGGUUGACUUUCUCUGUAAAUAUCAAACUCCUCGUAGACUUAUAGACCUGUGUACACUCACAAAUGCAUCAGUCUCUUAACCUAUAAGUCUUCAACACAGCAAAAUCACUAAGGGGCAUUAGAUGCACUUACAAGAUGCCGCGGCCGAGGAGAGGAGGGUGGUGGCGGAGGAGAGGAAGGUGGCUUAGGAGGAGAGGAAGGUGAGCAAUGAGGAGCGAACUAGAUUGUUGGAAUGGGAGAAACACUUGUUCUUCUUGGACACAUCUAACCUCAAUGAAGCGCAAAAAGAGUAUGUCAAUCUUGCCCGUGAAGAAGUGUUGAUCCAAAAAAGAGCCAUGAUCCACACAAUGGGUGGCGGUGGCCUUGGCGGCAUGGGUGGCGGUGGCCUCGGCGCCAUGGGUGGCGGUGGCCUUGGCGGCAUGGGUGGGGGUGGCAUUGACGGUGGCCUUGNNNNNNNNNNNNNNNNNNNNNNNNNNNNNNNNNNNNNNNNNNNNNNNNNNNNNNNNNNNNNNNNNNNNNNNNNNNNNNNNNNNNNNNNNNNNNNNNNNNNNNNNNNNNNNNNNNNNNNNNNNNNNNNNNNNNNNNNNNNNNNNNNNNNNNNNNNNNNNNNNNNNNNNNNNNNNNNNNNNNNNNNNNNNNNNNNNNNNNNNNNNNNNNNNNNNNNNNNNNNNNNNNNNNNNNNNNNNNNNNNNNNNNNNNNNNNNNNNNNNNNNNNNNNNNNNNNNNNNNNNNNNNNNNNNNNNNNNNNNNNNNNNNNNNNNNNNNNNNNNNNNNNNNNNNNNNNNNNNNNNNNNNNNNNNNNNNNNNNNNNNNNNNNNNNNNNNNNNNNNNNNNNNNNNCGGUGGCCUCGGCGCCAUGGGUGGCGGUGGCCUUGGCGGCAUGGGUGGGGGUGGCAUUGGCGGUGGCCUUGGCGGCAUGGGUGGGGGUGGCAUUGGCGGUGGCCUUGGCGGCAUGGGUGGCGGUGGCCUUGGCGCCAUGGGAGGCAUGGGUGGCUUCAGAGGUACCAUGAGCGGUUUAGGCGCCAUGGGAGGCAUGAGUGCACCUCCGGCCGCCAUGGGAGGCAUGGGUGGCUUUGGAGCACCCUCCGACGCUAUGGCCGCCAUGGGAGGCGUGAGUUUUGCUUCUCUCAUGGGAGGCAUGGGUGCACCUUCGGCCGCCAUGGGUGGAAUGUCUUUCGAUGUGCCUCCUCACACACAUUCCCAUAAAGAUGCCGUUGAAGAUCUUGCCAACACCGUCGGAGCUUCACGUGAUGCGGUGCGUGAUGAGGUGAGGGAGGAAGAUUCAUCUUCGAAGACGGAAGAAUCGUCUUCAGAAGAUGAGGACGAAGACGAGGAAGAGGAUUGAUGUGUCUUUCAUUUGUGUCUUGAACUUUAGUUUGCAUUUUGAACUUGGUUGGAUGAACUUGUGGGCAUGAACUUUUAUUCAUUAACUUGUUUGUGUUAAAUUUCACAUGUUCAUUGCAUUUUGAUGAAUGUUUCAAACUUAUUUUGUGUCCAAAAUGCCAUAUAUGUGAAAUGCCCGGCAAGUCGCGCGCGCUGCAUUUUCAGCGCGCUGCUGGAGCGGCGCGCGCUAUGCAUUUAGCGGCUGUUGGAGCCAGCGCUGGCGGCCGCGCUAAACCAGCCGAAGCGCGCGCGGCAAACAAGUUUUUUGCGCGUGGCGCGAAGCGUGGCUAUUGGAGAUGCUCUCAAGCCGUUGUCUGUAGUUUACACAUCGCCAGAAUCAACCACCGGAUCUGGAUGAAGAAACCUCACAAAGACUCUUUCGGCAGCCACCGCAAUCCAGAAUGAGGCCGUUGCCGCAGCCUGAAGUUUUCACCACAGGGACCAACAUGGACUAAGCAUCGUCGUUCCGUCGCAAGGCUUUCGCAUCAUGGGAUGGCAGUUGCCACUCCGAUCGUUGUGGACUAAUCCCAACCGGCUGUUGCCAGAUCUGGUAGGACGUGGCCAGCCACCAACACGAGAUGGAGCAAUCUCCAGCCCAAACCUCACGAGAAGAUACCUCUGGGGACGGGAUCUGUCGGCCUCUCGCGGCUGCCACUAAGGCUAUUCAUGAGUAGGGACCUGCCCACUGGAUCCGGGUCUGAGCGUGCUGACGAACAAGACCAGAAGCCAAGGAAGGUUGGGAGGGAAUGGGACAGUGCCCCGCCACCGUCGUCUACCAUUGGACGGCCUCCUCCGGCGGCGGUGAGGAUUCUAAUUCUGGCCGACGGUUCUUUGGGUGGCGGCUGGGUGCGCCUCUAGAGUCGCUCAGGAGCGACACGGGGAGGCUCGGGCGCUUUAGAACUUCCUGUCUGGAAGCAUACCUCCAUCAAUAGAAAAUAUUUAUUCCCUCACUUCUAUAUUGCUCGGCCAAAAUAGGAUAUCAAGAUUAAUUCUCGAAAGUUUGAGUCGCAUUAUAAAACUGCUUGACCUUGACCUAAGUUUCAACAGUUAAUCAGGUAAUGUUCCGUUUCCUCUUUACAACAUGCAAUUAUUCAAAAACUUUAGUGUUGGUAGCAAUGGCAUUUUUGGACUGAUACCAUCUCACAUUGGUUACGGAAAGCAACAGACUGGAGGUCUGAUCCCUGCUUCGCUGGCCAAUAUGUCAAAUGUUCAAGCGCUUGAUCUUCCAAACAACUCGCUUCAUGGCCCCAUUCCAUCUUUUGGGUCCUUGUUAAACUUGCGCCAGUUAGUAUUAGGGAGGAACUUGCUAGAAGCACACAACUGGUUAUUCCUUACAUCUUUAGCAAAUUGUUCAAAGUUGUCCUUGGAAGGGAAUGCUUUGGAUGGCAACUUAUCUAUAACCAUCCAACCACAUGUUGGUUCACGGCCAAUUCAUUUGCGGCAGACACAUCAUUUAUUAAGGCUUCGUUCGGAUUUGUUACAAGGGAAAAAGUGAUUGUAAAGACAAGAAAAGAAAAGAAAAGAAGAAAAGCAAACAACUUUCAAAAAUAGACGAACUCAGGCAUACAGGUGAGAUAAGAUAGUUGGUGAGACUGACCGACCAUCAUUCAAUCAUAAUAAAGCAGCAAAAGAAAGGAUUUUGAACAAGUCUGACUUCAUAUCGUCGUCCUUCCGGCACCGACACCGGCAGCUUCCAUGAGGUCAUCUAUCAAGCGGUGCAGAUCACGGUUGGAGGAUCCUCCUUCUGCCACCGCGGCAUGAACCUUAGCGGCCAGGCCCAUGACUCUGCUCCUCGCUGCAUCCCCCGGCCCUCCAGGCUGCAUGAAGGUCGUCAAUGCCGGUGCCACAUCUUGGGCGGGGAUUACCUCCUGCUCUUCGUGCCUCGUGCUUCGAACGCCGGCGCCGUCCGGCCACAGCCGCUCCCCGAUCCCUAGGACCUCCGUCAGCAGCCUCUCGGUGAUGAACUGCUCGAACACUAUGGGCCAUGUCAGCACCGGCACACCCGCCGCCACCGUCUCCAGGACGGAGUUCCAUCCGCAGUGCGUCACGAAAGCCCCCACUGCCCGGUGCCCCAGGAUAGCCCUUUGCGGAGCCCAGGCGGUGACCACCAUGCCCCUGCCUCCAACACGCUCGCGCCACCGCUCCGGGGGAGACCACUUGUCCAUCCUCACCACCCACAGGAACGCCAUCCCUGAGGCCUCAAGCCCGAGAGCGAGCUCGUCCAGCUGAGCGUCGGAGACGUGGGCGAGGCUGCCGAAGCACACGUACACCACCGACCGGCUUGGCUUCGAGUCAAGCCAGUCGGUGUACCGUGAGUCGUCGGCUUCCGGUGACGACGGCAGUCGUAGUGACACGGGGCCUAGCAUGUACGCACGCUUCGCGUAGCCAUUGCCCACGUACAUCCCGCAGUAAUGCUCCUCCAGGUCUGGCGAUGUGUUGACGGCCAGCCCGAAGCAGUCACCUUGCACCGCAUAGAGCCGGUGGAAGAUGGAUUGGUCACCCUUCCCUUGGCUCCUCAAGUAUUCCGGCAGCUCCACCGUGGGUACUCGUAUCUCGGGGUCCGGAAACCGAGGGAUGGUAGUCACCACCUCCGGCUCGCUGCUGGAAACGCGACCCAGUAGAUGGCGCAUCGCGAGCGUCGAGAAGGCGCCGAUGACGUUGAACGUGACGCAUGGCACACCGAGCCCGUCGCAGACGCCGGCGUUCCACAUGAAGUGCACGUCGGUGAUGAGCGCGUCCGGCGACUGCGCCCUGAUGAGCGUUUCCUGGACGGGGCGCAUCAGCGUAUCGCUCAACGCGGCCACAUCGAUGCGCCAUGCAUCGGCCUGCGCGGCCGUGCCGAGGUUCUCGACGCCCCACGGGAGGCCGUCCACGGCCGGGAACGGGUACGUCGCCACCUUCACCGGUAUGCAACUGCCGUUCUCGUACCGCUGGAGCAACGACCGGACGAACGACACGUUCGCCGGCGUCACCGCGAUGGUGGCCUCUACGGCCUGUGGUCUGGCCGUCGCAAGGCUAACGGCGAGCUCGGUGAAGGGCCCGAUGUGGCUGGAGGCGAAGAAGGGGAUGAGGAGCACACGCAGCUUCUUGCUGCUGCCAGUGGUUUCCGUAGAGGCCAUUUUCUUUGCAAAUUACUACUGCUAGCGGAAAGUUAAUUACCUGCGUGUGAACGGUAUAAGUAGGAGUAGAUGUUGGACUAGCCCUAUUGCUCAGUGUCGAUUGAAAGAAUAAACUACUGCUGGUAGCUCAAUGCACGCCUACCGCGUGGUGAAAUUUUUAAUGAGUAAAUUACUAUAUAUUCCAUCUCAUGUAGUAGCAAAUCUUUGACAUCUUGAAACAAUCAUAUGUGGUGCUGGAAAUCCAAUUAGUGACAGACCACCCACGAUUGAAGGUGCUAGAAUCCUUACACGAUUGUCAAUCUAGAAACACCGCUAUCUAUAGCAUCUCCGCUCCGGAUCCAGCUUGCCUGCUUCCUCCCCAUGCUCCCAUCCGUACUCCCACUUCAUCCUGCGUUUUUUUUCUUUUCUUUUUCUAAUCUAAUCAUCUCCCCCUGAUUUUAAGAGGGUGGGGCCGGGCCUUAUUUUAUUUCAAUCAAAUCAAGCCACGUACACGAGAGCACGGAUAGGCACACGCGAGAAGCAGGCAAGUCUCGUCUUUACUGUUCGUACAUUGAAGGAGUUGUCCCCAUGUCCAAUGCAUUGAAGGCGUUGCCCCAAGUCCAGAAUCUGCAUGCAAAUGGCGUCAGUACUAAUUAAGCUGAAAUUGAAGCAUUGCAUGCGAUGGGUGUUUCCUUUUCCCACAGGCAGCCCGACGUAGGAUCCCCGCGUCGUGGAGGCCGCCAGUGGGCAGGCGCCCGGUCGGAGGAGCUCCGCGCUGCCGGGCAGGUUUGUGUCUCUCUGCCGAGCAGCAAGGGAGGAAUCUCCCGUCCCCGGUCGGUCGUACGUCUCCACGGUGCGGACACCGUCGUCGAGCAGGCGAUCGGCUCGGGAUGUCCUGUGGCGUGGAGGCCGUCGGCGGGCAGUUGACCGGGCGGAGAAGCUCCGCGCUGCCGGCCAGGUUCGUGCGGCCGCGGAGCGGAAAGGGAGGAGUCUCGCGUCGUCGGUCGAGCCUAUGCCUACACGGCGCGGACGCAGCCGUCAAGCUGGUGAUCGGCUGGGGAAGCCCCGCGACAUGGAGGCCGCCGGCGGGCAGUCGACCGGGCAGAGGAGCCUUGCGCUGCCGGCGAGGCGGGCGCCUCCACGGCAUGAAAACCAUAGUCGGGCAAGCGAACGGGCGGAGGAGCCUUGCGGCGCUGAAUAAGGAUGAAUUAUCUCUCCUCCUUUUUCGUUUAAUGAUUGAUCACGCUUUGGUGAUGUCUGAUCCUACAGGAGAAAAAGAUCAACCCAUUGUUAGAUAAUUAAUUCAAAGAAAGACCAGAUCAAAUAGAUACUUCCCUGAUCCUUGUGUUUGUACUAAUGGCGCGAUGCCCAGAAUUCCAGCAAGCCAAUCAUUGAGCUGUUGCCGAAAAUAAAUGGAAAAACUAUUUGCACCAUGGCUCGAUAGACGCCAGGCCCCAAGGUGGGCGCCAACUGUCGUGGGAACGAUUCCGACAAUAAUAAGGUAUAAGGCAACAGAGCAUGUUCUAUCGAGAUGCAUAUGGGUGACACGGUGGUUUUAGCGAGUUCGGGCCUCUCACGGUGGAGAUAACAACCCUACGUCUCGUGCUCCGGAGAGGCUUUGUUCUAUCUGAGUAUAUAUCCGGAGAUUACAAUGUGUGUGUGAGAGAGGAACGGAUCCCCAUGCCUGAGCUAAGUCGUGAGACUAAUGGUGAAAAGAGAGAGAGGUGGAAGAAAAGAGCCCCUAGUCUAGUGGUGGGGUGGCUUAUAUAGAGUGCGCCAUCCCAUCACCCCUUAUGUUACACGGUGGAGCAUCAAUGCCAUAAUGCCUGCACACUACAAAACCGUCAUGCUGACUAUUGGUCUUCGCAAAUCCGAGUGAGUUACACGGACGAGUGGAAUGAGCUCGUCGAGUGGAGUGCCGUGCUCCGAGUGGUUGUUGCCGUCCGAGUGACUUUCAAGCUGCGGUACAUCUGGACGGUGAUCUGGCCCAGGGACCCAAUACAAAGUGUACGGUGUCCAUGGGUAGGGUAUUUAGGCCAGGCCUUUACCCUACCCCCAAUACAUGUCCUCGUCAAUGUGCGCUUAUGCAUUCUGAGGUACAGGUGAGCAAUAACAAGAAAAUCUGGAAGGCAAGGAUUCCACUAAAAGUUAAAAUAUUCAUGUGGUAUCUUCAUAGAGGUGCUGUGCUAAUCAAAGACAACCUCGCACGAUGCAACUGGCCAAAAAGUAAGAAGUGUUGUUUUUGUAUUCAUGACGAGACAAUCAAACACCUGUUUUUUCUAAUGCAAGUUUGUGCGUUCUACGUGGUCAGUCAUCCAAAUAGCGUCAAAUUUGUAUCCUCCCACAAGUGUUGCCAAUAUUUUUGGUCAUUGGUUGGACAAUAUUUCAAAUGGGUUCAAAACGCUAAUAAGGGUGGGAGCGUAUGCCUUGAUAUGGUCGCUUUGGCUAUGUAGAAACGAUUUGGUUUUUAAUGACAUAAAUACUUCCCUUUGCAAGUUAUCUUCCGUUGUACGCACUCGCUUCAUAUGUGGUCUAUGCUACAACGUGCGGAGUACCAACCGCUAUUCAAGGCGGUGUGUACGCGGUUGGAGGAGGUGGCUACAGAGGUUUUUACCCAACAUGGAUGACAGCAUAAUCUCCGGAUAGGUCCACCAACCGUUUUGACAUAGGCAUCAUGUUUCUUACUCUGUUUGUACACUACCUGGACGUACAAGGACUAAAGAGUACAAGGAUUUAUACCCGACUAGCUCGGCCUAAAACCCACUGCCAUAACUUCUCUUAUUUUAAAAUAAAAAACAACAUAGAUGCAGGCACAACCUCCACCACGAGUUCGGCGGCACGCCGGAUUUUUUGUCCAAAAGGACCCCCUGCCGAGAUGACUUGACAAAAAAGACUACCUCCGGAUGAAUUUGACAAAAAAGGACCCCCUCAGCGGUGGCGGCAGGCGCGGCUGGCGACACGUGGCACCUGCCGCCACCGCCGGAGGCGGCAACCCAGCCGAAACGGCUUUCCCACAGUACACCCAGCCGCGACGGAACGGGCGACGCCAGGUGGGCCAGGCCGCCACCGGGCGAGGCGGCCAACCCUGGCGCGGUCGCUGGCGGGCCGACAGCCUCUGCUGCGCCCGGGCCCGCCAGUGGGCCUCGCCGCCACUGGCUGAGGCGGCCACCCCUGCCAACAGCAGCUACUGGCGCAUGCUGCCUGCUGCACGGAAGGCGAGGUGCGGGCCCCGCCGCCACUGUUGCUGGCGGCAUCUUUUCUUCUGCAUGUGCGGGAAAACGACACUGAUUCCGUGACUGCCGGCGCUGAUUCCGAUACAAACUUCGCUCAUUCCGAUGAUUCGAAAAUUGAUACUGAGUGCCUGCUUUUGCUUGUUUUGCUUGAGUCAUGCGCGAUGACAGGUUCCCUGUUGCAGACUUAGCUAAUUCCCACGUGCAUGCUGGCUAUUGCUUGAGAGGACGUGAUGGCACUGCAGAAAUACACUCACUCGUUGCGGGAAUCCGAGGUUCCCUGUUGUGCCAACACUACAGGGAUCCUAAAAUAUCCCGCCUAAUUUCCUCUGUUCUCGCUUAUUUUCUCGCCAUCAUUUAUCGUCUGAGCAUAUAAAAGGAGACACCGAGGCUCUCGUCCAGCCAUCCUCGAAAUCGCCAGUGCGCAAAGUGCGUAACACAUUUGUCAGUCGGUAUGAGUUUGCCUUGUUCGGAUCAAAGCAUUAGGCCGAGGAAAAUGAAGAAUGCAAGUUUGCCUCCGGGGGUGGCAGUCCUGCGGUGUUAGUGUGGCGAUCUUUGCAAGGUGAAGGAGGUGACGGAAUUUUCAGAUUGGUUGGGCAUGAAGUUUUUCAUGUGCGCCAAUUAUGAGGAAGAUCCUGCCGUAGCUAUUUCGGAGUUCAACAAGCCUCCGGUAUGCUGUAACCAUCACGAAUAGAUAUUGUUGGUAUUUUGAUUGAUUCUUUAGUAACAUUCUUGUUUCUUGUUGUAGUCUCCUCUGCCUCUGUGCAUGUACUAUCGUUGGAUUGACACGGAGAAGCCGGCUGGGGCAGUGACUGAGAUUCGUGAAAGAAGUCGCCGUGCGUGGAAUAGUUUCUUUGCGAAAGAGCGACGCAAGAAGGCGGAAGCUGAGGAGAAAGCAGAGCAAGAGAGAGAGUUUUUUUUUCCAAGAUUUAGGAAAGAAAAACAGGGAAGAGGCUCGUCGCAUGGAGGAGCAGGAACGAUAGCGAAAGGAGGCUCGUGAGGCGGAGAGGCAGAGAAAGAAAGAAAGGGCUCGUGAGGCCAAGGCAGCAGAAGAAGCUGGCGAUGGAAAAGGAAAAUAUCCACGCUGGACUCAGUAGAUUCCUGUGGUAGUAUUUUUAAUUUCGCAAUCAUUUGUAUCUUUAUUUCUGCACUUUAAUGUAGCUUUAUUUCAGGAGUUAAAUGGAGCUUUAUUCCUACGAUGUAUCUUAUUUUCAACAUAAAAACUACAUGAAGGCAUCGUGCAACAACUACAAAAUUAAAUUAGUGGCAUUUUCUUUCCCUCCACUAAUAUCGAACAUCGUGCAACAACUACAAAAUAAAAUUAAAAUAGAACAUAAUGCCCUACAAUAAGAGAGUACAAACUAAUAAUGCAAGUACAUCCGAAUUAAACGGUAGAACUGCAAUACAGCAUAAAUACUACAUGAAGUCAUCAUCGUCAUCCUCCAUCGAUGCAGAACUCUUGCCCUUCGAGGAUGCAGAACUCUUACCCUUGGACGAUGCAGAACUCUUGCUUUUCGAGGAUGCAGUACUCUUGCCCUUAGACGAUGCUGAACUCUUGCCCUUUGACGAUGCAGCACUCGGAAGCGGCGGCAUGAAGAUAUCAUCUUCAUCCUCGCUCUCCUCAGUCCAUAAAAAUGGAUAAUUUUCUGCAGUCCUUCUGAAAGUUUCACUCUUCGGCUCCACUACAUUCUUCCACCUUGCAUGCAACCUAAGAAGUUCUUUACGUACCUCCUCGUAGGUCCUUUCAGGCCACCCAGACCUACAUAAUUGGUGAUCCAACUCAUUCAUUAUGGUGUCACUACCGGUGAGUUCGUCCCAUGGAACUAUCCUAUUGUCCAUCCUGAAAUCGGUAGCUAGCCUGAGAAGAGUCCUGCUCAUCCCAGGGUGAAAACUACGAUCGAAAGGAUAAUGGGAUAUCUCGACUACACUCGAAUGCUUAUCCACCUCCAUCUGAAGGGGAUUUUAUAGGUAUAGAGGAGAAAAUGGCGGGAAAGAACGAGUGCAGUAUGGCGGGAAAGGGUUGGCGGGAAUCUAUGGCGGGAAACGAGUGGCCGGAACAUAUGGAGGGAAAGCGUUGGCGGGAAACGGGUGGCGGGAACAUAUGGAGGGAAAGCGUUGGCGGGAAAAUAUUGAGGGGAAAAUUAUUCCUGACGACUGCUUAAUUAUGUCGAGAGCACUUAAUAAUCCUGUGUUGCGAUCAGAGAUGAUGCAAACACCUAAACGCUCUUUCACGACACCCAUCUUCAAGCAGCCCAGGAACCACAACCAGCUAUCUUUGUUCUCGCUCUCGACCAGUGCGUAUGCAAUAGGAAGAAGCUGAUUAUUUGCAUCUGCUGCAAUCGCCACCAAUAGUGUGCCCUUGUACUUUCCAGUGAGAAAGGUACCAUCAACUGAUAAUACUGGGCGACAGUGCCUGAAUGCUUGUAUAGUCUGGGCGAAUGCCCAGAAUAAGCGGUCCAGGAUUAGCUCACCCGGUUUCUUUGGGUUCUGACGUUCUCUCCGUCAAACUUGAGUCCCCCUAUUAGCACUUGCUAUCUGAUGAAGCAUUCUGGGGGCAUAAGAAUAGGCCUCCUCAUAGGUUCCAUACAAUUUCUUGAAUAUAUUUUCCUUCGCACGCCUAGCCUUGCUGUAGCUGACAGGAAAGCCAAUCUGAUCUUCUGCAUCUUUUUGCAAAGCCCUAACACUAAUGUUGAGACUUCCCUCCACAAUUGUUUCCAUCACCUGUGCCACAUAUCUUGCCGUCACAUUACAGUGAUUUGAAAGAGUCCCAGUUUGCUCACAGCUAUGCUGCACUAUUUUUGUGAUAUGCCAUGACUGACAUACCCCAGGCUUCAGUCUAGCGAGAACUCUUCCGCGGCAACCUUUCGCGGUGUGCAUGCAUAUGACCUUCAACUCUUUUUUAUCAGACUGCUUCACUUUUUGCUGGCGGUGGAGGGCGAUUGCAUACCUAUUAAUUGCUUGGUAAGCAGACUUCUUGUCUGGAAAAACCUGCCCAACCUCUAGACUCCCCGCUUCUAGGCCAGAAACAGAGUGAAAUUCAUUUGUGAUGCUCAUAUCCUGUAAAAGCCCAAGUUGCAGUGACGCUGCGACCGCCCUCUGGGGAGGAACAUCUGCAUCUUCGCUUGACUCGGAAGAUGCGGAAGAGUGAUCGUCAUCAUCGAGCGCCUCCGGCAAUCCCUCCACGUGUUCACUCAUGUCAACGGCCGCAGACCAAUAUCCCGUGUCAUACACAGGCUGGUCGCUCGUCGGUUUCGAUGGGCCGAUGCUAGGGGCUGAUGUGAUGGCCAACUCGACCUCACCGCCCCUGCUACUGCAUCCGGCAACAUCAGUGACUGAAAUGAACUCCACAUACACCAUCGGCUGACCAAACACUGGGUUAUUGGGAUUGCUUGCAAACCUCAUGUACGACCCCCACGACUGAUCACCUGUGACAGGCCGCAAACCCCAACGGGCAGCUGUCCCAUCUUUUGCUCCGUCAGCGACGAAGGCCUCCAUUGUCAUUUUUUCCCCUGCAUCCCUGGUCCAAACACCGCUCGGAUGCACCUUCUGACAGCUGUGUAACCCACGUUCACCAUGUCUCUAACUACAACUGUAGUCGACUCGCACAAGGACACAUCCACCCCGAAAGGACCGUCGCGUACGACAUUCCCAUAGUACACUACUAAAUUUUCCAUAGUACCUAACCAACAUACAUGUUUACAUUUCAAACAAUUAGUAACUGAACAUUUAGUAGUAGUACGAUGACAACAUUUACAUAUAUUACGACUAAAAUAAUAAUCGUAUUUUCGUUACAAAUAUUCGUUUUGUUUUUAGAAUCAUUUCCUUAGACUUUCCGGGGUUGUUGGUAUUUACAGAUCUAUUUUUUCUCAAACUCGUCUACGAGCUUCACAAACUAAAACUCUGUUUGCUUUUCUCUAACUACCCCAAAAAUAUCCUAAACUGAUUCUCGUAACAUGCAAAAACUAAGCUUUUGGAAAUAUCAAUAUUAGUAAAAUCUAAUUUUCUUACAAGUUAUGACAACACCGAUGGUAAUUAAUUGCUAUCCAAACAACCACUAAACAUAAUAGUACGAUAAUAACAUUUUAAUAUCAUAUGAUUAAAACAUUUAAUUUCUUCCGGCUUUAUAUAAGUUUUUCAUAUCAUACGAUAACAAACAUUUAUUUACAAAUGAUAAUAUUUGCAGCGGCAUGCACAUUAUUCACAAUAGUACAUCAAUAUAAAAAAUAUUAACAUGCAAAAACAGAGCUUCUCGAAAACAUUUAAUAGUAUGAUUAUAACAUUUUAAUAUCAUAUGCGUAAUACAUUUAAUAUCUUCCGGAUUUAUAGAAUUUUUUCAUAUCAUACAAUUAUAAUCACUUAUUUACAAAUAUUAAUAUUCCCACCGGCAUGCAUAUUAUUCACAACAUUACAUCAAUAUAAAAAAUAUUAACAAUAUUACAGAGUCAUUUAUACCCCAGCUCCAAUAUGGAUGUGCUUGCGACUGCAAUUAAGCGUCAAAAUAGUUCGAAUAAAUAUCCGUCACCAGUAUUAUAUGAACGGAGUCAACCUAUUAUCACAUGAAUAUCAAUAUUACACACGUAUUUUUUUCUUUCGGCUAUCAAAAGUAUAAAAAUUGCACUUGCUUGUAUAUAGACCUACGGUUUUCUAACUAUAGACUUAGUAAUAAACAUAUCACAUGAAAUAACAUACCACAUGCAAUGAACAAUUGCAGUGCUAUUUUUUUCCUAAUUACCGUAUUAAGAUCUUCUCUCACAUCUCAAUACUAAUGGACGCAGCUAACAUUUGAUACAACAUCUUCAACCUACUCUUCUAAAAAAUUAGUAUAAAUGUUGUAUCUGUCUUCUGCAAAUUUUUCUAACCUCUAAGCACUUACAUCAUAUAGCUAAUGACGAGCUAAAAGACUAACUAAUUACCACCCUGCAUGCACAAAACAAUACUUAUAUUGCAAAGCUCAUACCUCGUUCUUCCCCUUCGUACUUCACUUUGCACGGCUAUUCCUACUACAGAAACUCCAAAUGACUCCUCCAAGUGCUGAAAUAAUGCCUAAAGCAACAUACAAUACACACUUAUGAACUAAUCAUACAGAAUAAAAACAUCAUGCAUGCGAAUGAAACCAACAAAAAUGGAUAGAUCUUACCUUAAUCUAUCUUUUCUUCAACUUCAUCAUCUUCAAAAUCCAACUCUAAAUCGCCCUAAAUCACGAGUGAAAGUGCUUACUGAGCUUUUUUCUCUCUCUGUACUUAGAGACUUAGAGAGUAAAGGAGAGGGACGAGGUUAUAGAGAGUAUGCGUGCGCACGGAGCUGAAGCAUGACAUAUAAAAAGAGAGAGGAUCCCUGUAGUGUCGGCAGAUCAGGUUCGUGAAGCCAGAGCGAUUCCCGCCCGUGAAUUUCAUCGUCCUUCGCCGUGGGAAUCAGCCCAGUUUGCAACAGCGAGCGCAUGGGAAUCAACCCAGUUUGCAACAAUGAGCGUCGGAAUCAGUGCCAGGAAGAUGCCGCCAGCAACAGUGGUGGCAGGGCCCGCACCUCGCCUUCCGUGCAGCAGGCAGCGUGCGCCAGCAGCUGCUGUCGGCAGGGGUGGCCGCCUCAGCCAGUGGCGGCGAGGCCCACUGGCGGGGCCCGGACGCAGCAGAGGCUGUCGCCACCAGCGACCGCGCCAAGGCUGGCCGCCUCGCCCGGUGGCGGUGUGGCCCACCUGGCGUCACCCGUUCCGUUGCGGCUGGUUCUAUUGUGGAAAAGCCGUUUCGGCUGGGUUGCCGCCUCCGGCUGUGGCGGCAGGGCCCGCCGCCUCCUGGCAUGGCGACAGGUGCCACGUGUCGCCUGCCGCGCCUGCCGCCACCGCUGAGGGGGUCCUUUUUGUCAAAUUCAUCCGAAGGUAGUCUUUUUUGUCAAUUCAUCUCGGCAGGGGGUCCUUUUGGACAAAAAAUCGGCUAGUGUAUGCGGUUGGAGGAGGUGGCUACAGAGGUUUUUACCCAACAUGGAUGACAGCAUAAUCUCCAGAUAGGUCCACCAACCGUUUCGACAUAGGCAUCAUGUUUCUUACUCUGUUUGUACACUACCUGGACGUACAAGGACUAAAGAGUACACGGAUUUAUACCCGACUAGCUCGGCCUAAAACCCACUGCCAUAACUUCUCUUAUUUUAAAAUAAAAAACAACAUAGAUGCAGGCACAACCUCCACCACGGGUUCGGCGUGCCGCCGCGCCUCCAGCUGCUAGUAAAAUAAAGGGUAGCUAAUGGAUGGCGUCGCUUUGCUGCACCGCACUAUCUGCCUCUCUGGCUAGUGUGAACGGCAUAUGUUGUUACUUUGUUGCACUGCACACAUUUCAUUCCCAAUUGACAUCCGAGGAAGGCAUAGCAACAUUUUACAAAAUAAGGUUGAUGAGCCCCACCCAUGAGAUGAGUCGAGAAGUAAAAUGCAGCUUAACAGAGGAGCAUGUCUUGAAAGCCAACAAACUUGUAUCGGUAGAAAAAAUGAAGUUGUAGGCCGCACUUUNNNNNNNNNNNNNNNNNNNNNNNNNNNNNNNNNNNNNNNNNNNNNNNNNNNNNNNNNNNNNNNNNNNNNNNNNNNNNNNNNNNNNNNNNNNNNNNNNNNNNNNNNNNNNNNNNNNNNNNNNNNNNNNNNNNNNNNNNNNNNNNNNNNNNNNNNNNNNNNNNNNNNNNNNNNNNNNNNNNNNNNNNNNNNNNNNNNNNNNNNNNNNNNNNNNNNNNNNNNNNNNNNNNNNAUUGGCCCCCUCCCAUAAUCUUGUACCACUCCAUCUCAAGGAUCUCUUGUGGCACGUCCCUUCUGUCAACAUCGCAUUUAGGUUGAUUAAUAAAAUAAGACGCACGAGAAUUGCACAUUCAAAAUGGGAAUGAAAACUACUUGUUGGUGGUGGAGGUAUAAACUGCUGAAGCAGCGGUGCCGUACUGCGGCUCCAUCGGUGGCUGUGGUGGCGCUGUGAUGUACUGCUGCUCCGACAGCGGUGGUGGCGGUGGCCCUGUCAUCUGCUGCUGCAAUAUCAGCGGUGGCGCUGGCCCUGUCAUCUGAUGCUGCUACUCCGAUGGCGGCGGAGGUGGCCCUAUCAUCUGCUGCUGCUACUUCGCCGGCGCCUACGGUGGCCCUAUUAUCUGCUACGCGGCAUGGGCCCCUGUUUCAUGCGGUGAUAGAUCUCCAACAACUAAAAGACAAAACGGCCGCUCUCUCUCCGCGACCAGUUCUUCACAUUUAGGGGCAUGACAACCUGAUGGACGCGCACACUGCAGACUGCAUACAACUAUAUAGGGACGGAUGGACGUUGCGUGCUCCGCCCACCCCCCGAGCUCAGUUAAAGAGGCUUCAGUUUCUGACUUUCUGUUUGUUUG
rnacentral:lncRNA from 1 species